UUUUUUUUUUUUUUUUUGAGCCGGCAUGUUACAAGUUGCUUGAAUAGUAAGAAAUAUUCUCCAAACACAGCUGAGGGCGACCGGCAAGGUGGACAACGCAUUUUGACACUAGACACACUGCCAUUAUAGUAAUGUUGAAUCAUCGGAUUGACGGACGCAAAGUAUUAUGUUUAUCUAGGACGGCUCUGAGCUUCUUCUUUUUUCCCUGUAGGAUUAUACAGUCAUUGAAUCGACUAAUAAUCGAUUUAUAAAUUCCCCACUAGUUUAUAUCGAAGCGCGAGAAUCUCUCACCAUCCGGACCUGCAGAAUAUCAAUUUUGCUUCGAACCGAGGAAGAAAAAACAAAAGCACUGAGCUCGUGAAUUCCGUGGUGCCUUCUGCAUAGUUUGACCGCGACUCGCCAUGAGAGAUGAGUGCACUGGGAAGAACGAUUCAAGUAGGAUUGGUGGCCCUCGCUUGUUGCCUGGCUCUCCGUUGAUCCCAAUCGACAAACCAUUUUAUCCGCUAAUCAUAAAGUCGCCCAAUAUAGAUAUUCACGUGCUCUUUUACUUGGUUCUCGUCGGUCUUCUUUGGCAGCUAGGGUUUUCCAUCAUUUUCACAAGAGCAAAGACCGAGUCAAACUUUGUUGACAAAUCACCAAUGAAAGAGACAAACGGCAUGCGUCCAGUACUUGUGGGAACCAUACAAAGAACCAAAUUUCUCUUUGGAUGGUUGUGGACGAAUAAUGCGGAUUGAGGUCUCCGCCGCUGUCGCCAGCGCUUCCUUGCGCGAUGACCUCCAUGGACAGGCCAGAGGGGAGCUUGUUAUGGAGGCGGGGAGCUCGUGGCGGAGGCGGUUCUACCCCGGCCGCCACUCAUACCGGACCGCCAUUUUCAGUGCUCUGGCUCUAUGGGCUGCGGCAUGCGGCUUGCUGCUGCUCACUCUGAGACGGAAAGGAAGAGCGCGCAUUGGGAGAGGAUAGCGCUGAGGGAGAGAGGAGCCGCCAUUGACGAGAGUUUCAUUCGGGAAGUCCUAGUCUUCAAUUCGUACGGAUUUCGAUAGAUGAAAGAGGAAAAUUUCAAAUCAAAAUAUGAUCUACCCUCAUUUUCUCAAAUAAUUUUCAUGUAAGAGUUUUGAAAUGUAUCAAUCUCCAAUAAUGGCUUGAACUCAUUAACUGUGAAAGAAAAUUUCGCUUUUCAAAAUUCUUAAUUUUUCCUUCUUUUUUUUCAUAAAAACAAAAAAACCUUUAAAGAAAAAAGGGCAAGAGGGUGGCCACUGCCCCCACCAGCGCCCCAUCACUGGUGGAGCAGCAACAGAGGUUGGCAUGAUCACCGGUGCCUAAGCAAGGGUCAACAGGCCCUCGUUGAAGUAAGAGAGGACGAUGCUCGUCCACCCUCACACAAGCGUUCGACCCUCACCCAACGCCUUUGGACCUCAACCCUCGCCCAGGUCAAAGUGAGGGCAAGUGACCCUUACCUAGAUCUAGGAGAGGUUGUCGCUCUCUCCCAAUAGGCCCUCGACUCUAGUUGGCAAAGGUCAUCGACCCUUGCCUAGGCGUCGAUGACCCUACCGACUUUCACUGCCACCCCACUAGUAAUAGGGUGACGGCCACAGAUGGGAGGGGCUUGUGUUUUUCCUUUUUUUUUUAAUGUUUAAUCUAAUCUAAUUUAAAUUUAACUUAUGUUCAUACGAAAAUAUACUUAAUCAGCCGAAAUAUUUGACCAGUCGACCAGACUAGGCUCUUAUUUGAAAUAGGCAUAAUAACCACUUUAGGUCCUUAUUUGGAGCAAGAUCUAUUUCGUGCCCUUAUUUGAUAAAAUUAGACCAUCUUGAUGCAUAUGAAUAACAUGUUAUUGGGAACCAAGAUUGUGGAAGCAUUUCUCCACUCAACACGUGAAUGUCUGCUUUCAAAUCCUUUGCUGCUACGAAGCAAGAGCUUCACAAGAACCUCAAAGGCUUAAAGCUACUAUGCAUCGAUGCAGGUAUCUCAGAAUGCAGACUUAAACCAGCUAGAAGCUAACCUGUACUUUGCUUAUUUCUCAUGUUUGUUCUGUAGUGUUGAACAAAAAGUCCUCCGAAUAAAUGUCCAAUCAGAACCGGAGGCGGGCUAAGUUUUUUGUCAAUGAAGUCCGCAAUAUCAGCCGCAUGUGUCUAUAGCACAACACGAGAUGAGCAUAAAUAAGGACAGUGCCACUCAGCUCUAUAUGUCUAAAUAAUGUAAAGGGAAAAAGGGAGAAAAAUGGCAUUAGCCCCUUGAAGAGAUUCUUAGGUCAAAGAGCCAAGAUACCUGGAGGGAACCAGCAACAGGAAUGGAUGGUGCAUCACUUUCACCCUGACAAGAAAAGGGAAGGUGGGGUUCACGUCAUAUUUCCAGACCAAGAACAGAGAUUAGAAACGAAAGCUAAUUUGUUUAGGGUGUGCAUGGAAACGUUUCUAAAAAAAGUUUCCGGAACACUUCUGUACGGAUUUUGUUCCCGGGAACAAAAAAAGAACAGAAACGCGUUUGGUUGCGUUUCUGUUCUUUUUUUGUUUUUUUGUUUCUGGAACGAAAUAAGAACAAAAAAAAGAAACAACAAUUUGUCNNNNNNNNNNNNNNNNNNNNNNNNNNNNNNNNNNNNNNNNNNNNNNNNNNNNNNNNNNNNNNNNNNNNNNNNNNNNNNNNNNNNNNNNNNNNNNNNNNNNUUCUUAUGUGUGAUCCAGUCACGUAUGUGGUCGGUUAUUUCAUGAAUAAAUCUUUCCAUUUAGAUGAUGAUCAUUUCAUUAUAUUGCUCAUGAAUAAUUGGAUUUUUGUUGUAUUUAUCAAAUUCACUGAACGUCCUCUGGUGUUGAUCAUCGAGGUUAUAUGUAUUGUUUUUAUUCAUUAUUUUGGGUUGCAGAUAUUAUUUUAUCCAAUGAUUCUUUUGAUUUGGAAAGUCCUCCUCGCCCUGCUGAGUGAUGUCGAAAUCUUCCAAGCCCGAUCAAUUCAGCCUCUUUGAGGGCCGGCUCGCUUCGCCAUUCUGGGCGAGCUUGCCGGCCUCGUCGGCCGGUCGCCGGAGGCCGGUGACCGGCCGAAAAAAGAAAAAAUAAAAAAGAAAGGAAAAAAUGAAAAAUAAAAUAAAAAUGUUUAAAAAAUUAAAAGAAACAAAAAAGAAUAAAAUUUACCAAACGUGUUUCUGUUCAUUUUUUAUUCCUGGACCAAACGUUACCAAACGCGUUCUUUUGUUCAAAAAUUGUUCUCCGGAACAAAAACACUUUUUUUUGUUUCUAUUCCCUGGAACAAAAAAAAGAAUAUAAACGUUACCAUUCGCACCCUUAGAAGGUUCUUGGAGAAGUAAGCUGGGGUCAUAUUAGACGUGAUGAGCUGCACCAGUUUAAACCCGAAGUUUCAAACUGCACGCGUCUUUGUUACCUGACCGAGAGGAUAAAAACACUACAAGUGCUAUAACUUGGCAGAAAGAGACACUUAGGCUGCGCAUGAUAAAAUUUCUGUUUCUUGAUUUCUCUGUUUCUCUAUUCCCGGAACAGGUUUGGAACAGAAAUCUGUUUGGUAACGCAAUUUAAUUUCUUUAUUUCUAAAACAGAUUUCUAUUCCAGAAAUAGAUUUAAAGAAGAAAUUAGAAGCUAAAAUUUUUAGCUUCUCAGUUUUUGAAAUAGUUAUAACUAGAAAUCAAUUUCUAUUUCAGAAAUUUUUUUUUGGUAAAGACUAUUUCAGAAAUUUUGUCAUGCGCACGUGCCAUAAGUUUCAAAAAGUACAUUUAAGUGCCACAUUUGAAAAAAAGUGAGACAUCUAAGUGCCAUCUCCGGCGAAGUCAGCCGAAAAUCAUACAUGACAUUAAAAUAUUACUAUUUCUCACCAAUAUGUCUCGUCGGAGAGCUAAGUCAACUCCAAUUCACCCGAAACGACGUCGUUUCGGGUGUUGGCCCAAAAUAGAGCCCUUAAAUCAGCGAAAACGCCGUUGUUUUGGAAUAAUUUGAAUUUUAAUAUAAUAUAAAAUUUAAUUUAAUUUAAUUUAAAACUAAAUUUAUUUAAAAUAUUUAAAAAAAAUACAAAAUUUACAAAAAAAUUUAAAAAAUUACAAAAUUUUUAGAAAUUUACAAAAAAUUUCAGCCCUCAGCCACCUCCUUUUUAAAAAAAAUUGUAAUUUUUUACAAUUUUUUAAAAUUUUAAUUUUUAAAAUUUUUUAAAAUUUAAAAUUUUCAAAAAAUUUAAAAUAUAUUUUUAAAUGUUUUAAAUAAAUUUAGUUUUAAUUUUAAUUUAAUUAAUUUUUAUAUUAAAAUUUUUAUCACAUCAGUACUAAAACAAUGCCACCGCCGCCUCCCCGCCAUCGCUGGAAGGUGGAGGAGGGUCGGCCGGGGCCGCCUCCCUUUUUUUUUAACAUUUUUUAAAAUUUAAAAAAAAAUUACAUUUUUUAAUUUAAAAAAAUUAAAAAUUUAAAAACCUUUUAUUUUAUUUUUAAAUGUUUUAAAUAAAUUUAGUUUUAAAUUUAGUUUGAUUAAUUUUUAUAUUAAUUUUUUUACCACGUUAGCACCAAAACGACACUAUUUUGCACUCGCUUUGCCGAAAAAUUAACACAUUAGCGUUUUGGCCGGAUUGACACUCAAAUGAUUCAUUUUGCUCUGAUUUUGGCACUUAAGUGUACAUUUCAAAAGUUAUGGCACGUCAAAUUGGAUAAGUUAACUAAAGAAUUUGAUUGCAUUUUUUUUUUUUUAAAUUUUAAGUAUUUGUUUAUUUCAUUGAAAAAUUCUUGUCGUAGAAAAGUACCUACCGGAAAUUAAAUUUCAGAGUGUCCCUUUUUGCAAAGUUAUGGCACUCUAGGGGUCCGCACCUCCCUGACCGAGCAAGCUGACGUCGUAGCAGUCGAACCCAUGGCUGGAGAAGAAAGGUAGCCAAUGCUCAGCCCAGCACCAGGCGGCAUGCUAGCUCCCAUGCACAAACACUAGCGGUGGGUUGAGGUCUCCACCGCUUUUGUUGUCACUUUCUUGUGCGAUGACCUCCAUGGACAGACCGGAGGGGAGCUCGUGGAAGAGACGAGUCUGCCUCGGCCUCAGUUCAUACUGGACUGCCAUUUUUGGUGCUCCGUCUCUGUCCACCAUGGCGCAUGGUUUGCUGCUCGUUUUGAGAUGAGACGGGAGGAGAAAGAUAGGGAGCUUGCGACGAAAGCUUCAUUGCUCUUCCGGGGAGAUCCUGGUUUUCAAUUUGUAUGGAUUUUGAUUUGGAGUGACUUUCUGUGUGGCAGUGCUAUUUGUAAUCCUAAAUGAUAAAUUAGAGAUUAUUAGGUCAUAAUCUUUAAUCUACUAGAAAAAUAACAGUCAGUUCUUUAUUAUUAGGGGAUAAAAUUGGAUCUUGUUUUAAAUAGGAAAGCAAUAAUGUAAUUUUCAACUUAUGCCCCUUUACUUACCAUAAAAAAUUCACCCAAUUUUUUAUCGAAAAGAUAAAAUUUUCCUCAAUAAUGGAAUUAAAAGGAAGGGGUUUGAUGAUGAUUGAUGAUGAAAAAUGCUCACAAGUCGAUUAACUAUGGAAGUUACUUCUCCUAGUUGUAGUUCUUACAAGAUUGAGAUAUAGGAUCUUGUUUAUUAUGAACCUCAAUUAAUUCAUCGAGCAUGUUACAUGUUGCUUGAUUAACAAGAAAUAUUCUAGAAACACUGCUGAUGGUGAUCAGCAAGGUGGACAAUGCACGUAAACACGCUGCUAUUAUAGUAACGUUGAAUGAUCGGAUUGACGGAUACAAAGGUAUUAUGUUUAUCUAGGACGGCUCAAGCUUUUAAUUUUUUAUUUUCUGUUGGAUUAUACAGUCAUUGAAUCGACUAAUAAUCGAUUUAGUCCAAGCGUGAGAAUCUUUCACCAUCCGGACCUGUAGAAAGUCCACUUGCUACCGACCAAGGAAGAAAAACAAAAGCACCGAGCUCGUGAAUUCCGUGGUACUUUCUACAUAGCUUGGCCACGACUCUCCAUGAGCGAUGAGUACCUUGGGAAGAACGAUUCAAGGAGGAUUGGGUUGCGCAUGGUAAUUUGCCAAUUUCACUAUUCUUUUGUUCACCGGAACAAAAAAAAAAAAUCUAUUUGAUAAUGUUAAUUAAUUUUUAUAUUCUCUGAAAUAAAAAAGUAGUCAGAAAAUAUAUUUGAAAUAAAAACAAGAAAUAGAAAAAAGUACUUUCUUGUUUCUAGAAAUAAUUUUUAGAAACGAGUUAUUUUCUUUUUCUUAUUUCUUUUCUUCUUCUUCCUCGCCACCGCAACCCCCUGCCGUCUACCGCAACCUGCCAUCGCCGACUAGAGGAGCAGCAAAAAGAAGAUGUUUGUAAUUGUUUUGAUAAACAAGAAUACGUGCAUUGGUAAAUUAAGAUUAAAGUCUGAUUGCAGUGGAAGUAAAAACAUUUAUACACAUAUUUCUAAAGCAUUAUUCGUGCAUUUUAACAAAAGCAUAUAGAAAUGAGAAGUAGGUUAAUCAUAUUACCCUUGGUCCUUGUUGAAAGAUUUAAGUUCCGACGAUUUUCGGAUUCUAACCAUGAACGUCUUAUAUCUUCACGGCGUUAGUUUUUUGACACUCUUCGAAUUCUCAUUACGAACAUUUGAUCUUCUAGUAACACCAAUUGUGACGUUCUUAGAAUUUUGAUCACGGACAUCUGAUGUCUUCUGAUAAUACCGAUUUUGACGUGCUUCAUAUCCAAAACAUCUUAUCUCUUCGUAACGUAGGUUCUGACGUAUUUCAAAUCCAGCUCCAGAAGUGUCAAGCCUCUAGUUUAAACACAUCGCCAAUCUCACAUUGAAAAGAAAGGAGAAAUUGAGGGCGCGCAUGACAACCAUUCUGUUCCAGAAAUAGUUUCUGGAACAGAAAUAGAUUUUUCUAUUUCUAUUUCUAAAAGAAAUUCUAAGCAAAAAUAACUGUUUGAUAACGACACAAAAUUUCUUCCUUUCGGAUGGCGGCGGCGACGACCGACGACCUUUAAUAUAAAAAAAUAAAAAUAAAAAUGAUUUAGUAACAAAAAAAAUAAUGAAUAAAAUAAAAUAAAAUAAUCAUUUUAUUUUAAAAUAAAAAUAUCCUUAAAAAUAAAUUUAUUUUAUUUAUUCUAUUUUAUUUUACGAAUAAAUUUAUUUUAAAAUGAAUAAAAAUAAAAAAUAAAAUAAAUUUAUUUGGCAAAACACUCAAGGCAAAUAAAAAUAAAUUUAUUUUUAUUUUUAUUUUUAAAUGAAUAAAAUGAAUAUAUUUAUUUUAUUUUUAUUUUUUUAAUAAAAUGAGGAGAGGCGGAAGAGGGGAGGAGGAGGAGGCGGAGACGUAGAGGAGAUGAGGGAGGACUUACCGAAAUUAGGGUUUAGUGAGAGAAAUUAUUUCUGAUUUCUCUUCCAGAAAUCAGAACUAGAAAAUUUUAGAGCGUGCAUGACAACCAUUCUGUUCCAGAAAUAAUUUCUAUGCAAAAAUAACCGUUUGAUAACGACACAAAAUUUCUACUCUAAAAAUAGAAAUUCGUUUGAUAACAACACAAAAUUUCUUCCUUUCGGACGGUGGCGGCAAUGAUUAAUGACCUUUAAUAUAAAAAAUAAAAAUAAAAAUGAUUUAGUAACAAAAAAAUAAAGAAUAAAAUAAAAUAAAAUAAAAUAAAUCAUAAAAAAAUAAAAUAAAAAUAUGAUUUUAUUUUAAAAUAAAAAUAUCCUUAAAAAUAAAUUUAUUUUAUUCAUUCCAUUUUAUUUUAUUUUACGAAUAAAUUUAUUCUAAAAUGAAUAAAAAUAAAAAAUAAAAAUAAAUUUAUUUGGCAAAAUACUCAAGGCAAAUAAAAAUAACUUCAUUAAAUUUAUUUUUAUUUAUCAUAAGUAAAUUAUUUCUAAUAAAUUUAAUAAAUUUAUUUUUAAUAAAAUAAAAAUAAAAAAUAAAUAAAAAUAUUUAUUUAUUUUUAAUUUAUCUAUUUUUAAUAAAAUUUUAAUAAAUUUAUUUUUAUUUUUAAAUGAAUAAAAUGAAUAUAUUUAUUUUUAUUUUUAAUAAAAUGAGGAGAGGCGGAUGAGGAGGAGUAGGCAGAGACGUGGAGGAGAUAAGGGAGGACUCACCGAAAUUAGGGUUUAGUGGGAGAAAUUAUUUAUGAUUUCUCUUCCAGAAAUCAGAAGUAAAAAAUUUCUAUUUCUGAUUUCUCAUCCAAAUCAAUUUCUGAAAUAGAAAUCUAUUUCGGAAAUAGAAAAACUGAGUAGGUUUAUCAAACAAGUUUCUAUUUCAGAAAUAGGUCUGGAAUAGAAAAAUUAUUUCUGGAACAGAAAUUUUGGUUAUCAUGCACCCCCCUUAGCUUCUGAUUUCUCUUCCAAACCUAUUUCUGGAAUAAAAAUCUAUUCCAUAAAUAGAAAAACUGAAUAGGUUUAUCAAACGGAUUUCUCUUCCAAAAACAGGUCUGGAACAGAAAUUUUGGGUUGUCAUGCACCCCCUGAGAGAUCUCACAAUUACAAUUAUGCUAGCAAUUGCUCUUGUCGAUGAAUGACUUAGUUGAUCACUGUCAACACUCUUAAUUGUUGAUUGUCGAUCAUCAAUUACCCUAUGCUUUGUUCUCUCAACCGCCUUUUAUAAUUCGUCCCAAAUCACAUUUAAAUCGGUUCAUUAACUCUAAAACCGUUUUGAUACCAUUUUAGACACCAAUUCAGGUAUUAAUUGUGUAGCCAUCACAAAACAUUAUUCCAUGCAUUAAUUUGAAAUCAUUACAAAUCUUCAUUGUGAGCAUUAACUUUGUAAUCGUUACAAAUAUUUAAUUUGAUUGUUACAUCUAAAACCGCUUCAAAAUGAAUUGGUCAUUUGAAUCUGAAACUGUUCCAAAUAGUUAAAUUGUCCAUUGAUUGUGAGACCAUUUUAGAUUAUUAAUGUGACCAUUAAAUCUAAAAUCGUUUCAGAUCAUUGAUGUGGCUGUUUAAUCUCAAAUCAUUUCUAUUUGAGUAAUAGCCAUGAGAUUCCCCAAUAUCAUGCUAAGAAUGGCUAGGAUUUCCAUAAGAAGAUGCCAUUUGUUUGAUAAGAAAUAAAAAGGAAUAUCGAAAACUCGAGUGGCUAAAGCUAAAGCAGAAGCAACUACUUUCAAAGUAACGAAAAGAAAAGCAACGACCGGAGUGGGAGAGUCAGAGUCGAAAAGAGGAUUCCUCACUUCUUUCUCUUCCAGAUCAUUAAACUGUCCAUUGGUUCUAAAAUCAUUUUAGAUUAUUAACGUAACCGUUAAAUUUGAAAUCGUUUCAAAUCAUUGAUGUGGCUAUUUAAUCUCAAACCGUUUUAGAACAUUAAUGUGAUCGUUAAAUUUGAAACACAAUCUUUAAUUUAAUUGUUAAGUCUAAAAUCGUUUUAGAUUAUUAACUAGAUUAUUGAUUCUGAACUCAUUUCAGUUCAUUAAUCACAUCACUGAUUCUAAACUCACUUUAGAUUAUUAAUUUGGUCAUUGAAUUUGAAUGCACUUCAGUUCUUUGAUUUGGCCAUAAAGCCUAAAACUUGCUUCAAACUUUGUAAAGUCCAAAGCCCCUUUCAGAUAUUGUAUUUCUUGUCCUACUCAAUUUAAUUGACUCAACUACAAAUGCAUUUGCAAGAUCAUCUCUCUUUCAAACAUCAUUCUAAUUAGUUAUACAUUCCUAGGUUAAUCACUAAGCUGGCAGUAGGACCUGUAUUAAUGCAUUAGCACAGUCAAGAAAACUAAUUGUCCAAAUCAAUCUCAUGUUCCUAUAAACUAUGAGUAACAUCUGGCAAUAUAUCAUGGCCAAAAUGUUUCAAGAACAUAGUGGGUGCGUUUGGAAUUGGCUUUGCAAAUGAUAUUUGGGCUUCUUAGGAUACUUAGGCUAAAUAUUGGGUGUUGGGGAACAAUUUUGAAAUUCUCAUUAUGCCAAAGUUGGCCUUCUCAAGGCUGAAAGCCCAAGGCAGGUGUGAGGGUGCCUUGGGCUUUCAGCUUUCUCAGCAUACAAGAGGCACUAUUCACUUUUUUAUUUUCUUCCAAGAUUAUCCCCAUUUACUUUCGAUUUUUCCAGUUUUGCCCUUGUCAUUGUAUUGUUAAUCUUCUUCUUCGUGAGGUUGGCUAACGUGUUGCUCAAAGCUGUGAGCAGCCGCCGAUGGCUUGGCAUGGUCGUGAUGGCCCAUGCAAUUGUCACCGGGGAGUGGUGCGACUGCCGCCGUGUCUGGGUCGCGGUGAGGUCGUGCGACCCAGAUCCGGGGGCGAUGAAGUCCUCUCGCGACCUCGUUGCCAUAGAUCUAGGUCACGGCGGUCACUAGAGGUUGCGCGACCUCGCCACGACCCAGAUCCGGGGGUGGCAAGGUCACGUGACCCUGCCGCAACCCAAAUCCAGGGGCGCCGCCCCAGAUCUGGGUCGUAGGGGGUUGCUCGACGUCCAGCAACCCUCGCAAGGGGUCACCCCAUGUCCGAUGGCCCUCGCCAAGGGUCGCUCGAUGUUCGGCGACCCUCGCCAGGGGUCACCUGAUGUCCGGUAGCCCUCGUCGAUGGUCACCCAACCCUGGGCAGCCCUCACCGAUGGUCUUCAGGGGUCGCUCAACCCCAAGCAGCCCUCCUCAGUUGUCUCCAAGGCUACCUGAGUUAGAUGUCAGCCGCUGGCAAUAGAUUUCGAUGCCCAGCGGCCGCCUACCCUUGCCGGUCAAUUUUUUUUAUAUUUUUCUUUUGACAAUUUUUUUUAUCACAAAAGUCCUUUACAAAUACAAUUUCUCCAAACACCAUUUUGCUCAAAUGUACUUUAUAAUGGACUUUUAAAUUGUAAUUUAACAAACAUAAUUUGCAUUAUGAAAAGUCCCUUCAACCUAAAGUCAUUUGCAUUUACCCAAUAGCUUUCCCCAAAAAUCCAACCAAACGCACCCAAUGAACCUAUAAGCUUUAGCAACCAUGUAAUUCAAUCAUUUUGUCUUACCACGUCCCAAUCGAACAAAGACCAUGGAAUUAUUGGUCAAGUCACCAAUUCAAUCAUAUAUCCAAAUCUAAUUGACAUAUAUUCUACAAGACAUGAAUCAUUCAUUUUCAAUUAUAAUCUCGAUUAAGGAUUUCAAUAAAAUGUCAUGAUUAGAUCGCAUAGAACAUCAAUCUUAUAUAUCUAUAUAUAACGAGAAAACAUAUUCCAUAUUAUGCAUGCAUGUGCCUUCGUAUGUAAACAAAUUAUGACAUCAAGUAUAGAGACGGUUCGACGAAGUGUCAAGAUAUGCACUUGUGAGCCAUAAUCAUCUAACAUACAAGUUAGCAUUGUGCCUCAGGUUCAAGGAUUUUACACAAGACUAAAGCAUGAACGAUCAUACAUUAACCCCACUAAAAGCUUUCAUAUUGCCAAUUGUUAUAUCAUUGUCACAUUUAGUAAACUUGUCCAAGACAAGCGCCUAUAUUAUACCUAAUAAUUUAUGAUCCAUCAUCCCCUUAGGUAUCCAAUACUAAAUGGUGAAACUUGAAAACACACUGACCUCAACAAGAUUAUCAAUAUCAUCUUAAUGAUUCAUCAAGCGGGAACCAUUUGAAGAUUCAGCAUAAUUGUAAACCCACCACACAUAUUCUAAGAAUAGGUUUAGUCGUAACUAAUCUUAUGGACUCAUUUAUAUAAAUAUGAUAAUGAGUGAAUAUUUAUUUGUCAUUGAAUAAUUCCUAACAUGUAACUAUUAUAUGGCUACUUUAAGGCAUCUAACAGAAGAGAGAGAGAGAGAGAGAGAGAGAGAGAGAGAGAGAGAGAGAGAAAAUCUAAAAAAAAUUAUUAAAAGAUUAAAAGAAAUUUUAUGUUACAUAAAAAUUUAUGGGUUAUACCAAACACAUUUCUAUUUUUUCCUAUUAUGAGAAUAGAAAUUUUAUGUAAUUAUUAAACGCAUUUUUUACUGAAAAAUUAUUUCAGAGACUAAAAAGAAAUUAUUCUAUGGAAUAGAAAAGCACCCUCGUGGUCCUCCUCAUUUGUUGCCUUGCUUUCCGUUGACCCCGAUCGAGAACUAGUUGGUCUUCUUUGGCAGCUAGGGUUUCACAUCAUUUUCACAAGAGCAAGACCGAGUCAAACUUUGUCGAUAUGCUUCUAGAUUCAUGACAACGGACACCGGCAUGCGUCAAGUACAUUAGUGCGAAUUCACUCGACUUGAACGGGUCGUCAGCGUUCGGCCAGCUUUCAAGUAAACGUCGGUGUAUUUUUGGGAACCAUACAAAGAACCAAAAUCCUCUUUGGAUGGUUGUGGCAUCGGUUGCUGGAUUGCCACGGUGUUUUUGCACGAUAAUACUCAUUUAAGCGGAUGGAGAGAACUCCUACAUCCUCAAAAGCGACACUCACGAAUGAAUAAUGCAAUCAUAAAAUCUCUCCAAAAUUCGAUACACAGCCGAGUUUGCUAAAUUACAAGUCGCUGUUGCAGCGCAUAGCAGAAACCCAACCUAACAAUGGACCAGCAAACAUGUUGCACGGCGCUUUUCUUGAAAUUACAUUUGAGUUGGAUCAUCUGUUUUGAGGAAGUGAGCUCAGACGCAGUCUGCAUUCUAGAUCAAAUGGAGACCAGAGCGAAAAGAAACACCAUUCAUCUCUGGUCCCUUCUUAAACCCUUCAGCCAUGACAAGAUAACGUCUGCACCUUUCUCCCACGAGCAAUCUAGCAUCAUGUCAUGAGCCACCCCUUCAACAAAAAUCGGCGGUACAUCAUAGUAUUCGCCUGUUUCUCGUAUCCCUUGAGCAUCCUAAUUAUAAAACAGAGGAGAAAUGUAAGGAGGAGUCCAGAAUAUAGAAACAGCUAAUGCAAUGCCAUUGAUGGUAUGUAGUAAAAGGAUAUGGUCCAUGCAGACACAGGCCUUCAAUAGCUCCGAGCAGAGCAUACCAUUCCACAUACUUACCUAUGAGAAGGAUUUAAAGAUACGCGCUCAUUUCUAUGCUACCCUCGGGUUAUGUUGCAAUGGUGUCUAUAAAAAUAAAAUGACCGGCGCAGAUGACGAAAGUAGCAGAAGCUCCAGAAUUUAGUAAUUUACCACUAUGAAAUCAUCAUUUGCACCCACCACGAGAAGUUGAAUGGAAGAUUUGGGCACAGAGGGAACUGGAAGAGAAGCAUUCAGCUUCCUUAGAUCAAACAAUGGCAUCUGUGAACUAUUCUUCAUUAGUUCCUGAUAACUAAAGGAAAGGAAAAAGUUUAGGCCCCCAUAUUGUCAGGUACCUUCGAGGAUUACAAUACAUACUGUAAUAAAUUAGAUAAUUUCUCACCCAACAAAAUAAUUGUCUUCAAAUAUAAAAUGUAUGCUGAAGAAAGUGGAAAUUGAACACUUGCAUUUGAAGUGUUUGGGUGUAAGUAACACCAAGAUUGACAAUGUCUCUAUUACCACUCUGGUUAGGUAAGAAAUAUGUUAAGAGCAACAAAUUAAUAAGCAAGAAUCAUGAAGAACGUCAUAUUAAUGAUUUUAUUGCUAAGUGCAAUCUGGAUUGCUUUCAUUAAUAAGCAUUCAUCAGCCAUCUGAAUUAAUUUCCCUCUCCUUUCUUGUCUCGAAAUGCAUCAAGGUUAUCAAAGAUUUCCUUAUGCAGACAUAAUUUGUAACAAAUGUUUAACUUAUGACAAAAUGAAUAUUGAAGAAGAUUCUCAUCCAAAAGUAUAACCAGAGGAACCUACCGUUGCACCAGAUGAUCCUCCAUUGCAGCAGAGAAGAAUGUUUCCUUACAAAGGGGAAGAGAAGUUUGAAAGCCUUUAGCAGCCAAACUGCGAGUGACCUAUUAAAAUUUGAAGGCACUUUAUUAUCAAAUUACAUCACACUCAAAUUGAAACAAGGAGGAUAGCUUCUCUUAAUGAUAAGAAACUACCUUAAAAGCUGCUAUAGGUUUGGUAAAUAGAUAUCGCCACACUAUGCCACUGAACAAAAGGAAGGAAAUAUCAAUAGAGCCAUUGGACUAAUCACUCAAAUAGAUGAAGGGCAUAUAUUUCUUAUGGGAUCUGAAGUCACCUAUUACCAGAAGGAGGUACAGAGCAAACAAGCACAGAUCCUGCCAAGUUCGGGAACAAACCAUUUCUCUCUAAAAAAACAAACACAUUAGAGGAUGCACGCCAAUUAAGCGUGCAAAGAUUAAUGAGUAAAAGAUUGAAUACAGAUCAACCCAAAGGAUUCCCAUGAAAGAAUAAGCACAUCCAAGUAGCAAUCAGGAUGAGAUCCUAGCAUUAAGUAGCCAUUAGCACAAGUAGAAAGCUCAAAAGAUUCAAGCCUUAUGAGGUGCAUGCAUUGUGAUUUCUGUCAGUGGCUCGGAUUAGAAAAUUUGAGAUAUACAUCUCACUGAAUAUGGACCACGGGAAUUUAUGGUGUUCAAACAUGCAAAAAGAGAUGUCCAGAUCCAAAAUGUACAAAGACUAGCUAACCUGUAUAUUGCUCAUCUCUUAUGUUUGCAAUGUAGUAUUGGACAAUAAGCCCUCCGAAUGAAUGUCCAAGCAGAACUGGAGGCGAGCUAAGUUUUUUGUUGAUGAAGUCGGCAACAUCAGCUGUAUGUGUCUACUGUGUGAUAUCAGAUGAGCAUAAAUAGUGACAGCACCACUCACUCUAUAUAUCUGAAUAGAUUAACGUUAAAAAGGGGAGAAAAAAAUGCAUUAGCCCCUUGAAGAGAUUCUCAGGUCAAAGAGCCAAGAUACCUGGAGCGACCCAGCAACAGAAGCAUAGGGUGCAUCACUUUCACCCUGAGAAGAAAAGGGAGAGUGCAGUUCAGCAUCAUUAUUCCAAACCAAGAACAGAGACUAGAAACGAAUACUACUUUAUGUUUCAAAUACAAAGGUCCUAAGCUGGAGUCAGAGUAGACAGGAGAGAACAAAAUCUUUGCCGAACAAUUUAAAUCCAGAGUUUGAAACUGCAAGAAGAAACCACUUGUCAAGAAAGUGCUUCGCCAAGCAUUAUUAACGCAUUACAUUGUCAGGAAUAAGAUAAUGCAUCCUGCAACCCUAAAAGCAGCUUGUAAUAAAUCUCUACCGACCGUGUCAAGAGCUUUUGCGGGAAGGCAGACACCCUCCUUUCCUUUGCAACCUCGAAUAACUUUUCCAGGUGUCUCUCAUUUGACAAAGGCAUUAACUUUUUAAUACCAAAUGCCCGCACUCAUAAGAACCAUAUAUUUCAAUCCAACCCUCUCAUUUCAUUUUAGAUCGUUUCAAGGACCAAGUUCAUCAACAGCGAAUGAGCCAUCAUGAAACUUCGUAAUUCUGAAAUUUCCCGAAUUCCACGCAGAUGAUCAUUCCAAUUACGUAGAAUAGACGUGCAUUCCCCUGCCUCCAUCUCCAAGAUGCCUCUCGCUCAGUAAACAUAGCAAAGAAUUGAAAAACCGCCAACUAUCUUCUUAAUUUUCGCACAAAACUCUAGAAUUCGAGUCACAGACACGAGCAUCGACCGACACCAUCCGUCAGCGAGGGACGCGUGUUACGGUCCUGUUUCCUUCGUUUACCUGACCGAGCAAGCUGACGGCGAAGCAGUCGAACCCGCGGCCGGAGAAGAAGGGCAACCAGUGCUCGGCCCAGCACCAGGCGGCGUGGUAGCUCCCGUGCACGAACACCAGCGGCGGAUUGAGGUCCCCGCCGCUCUCGUCGGCGCUCCCUUGCGCGAUGACCUCCAUGGACAGGCCGGAGGGGAGCUCGUGGCGGAGGCGGUUCUGCCCCGGCCGCAGCUCGUACCGGACCGCCAUUUUCGGCGCUCCGGCUCCGUCGACCGCGGCGCCCGGCAUGCUGCUGCUCGCUCUGAGACGGAAAGGAAGAGCGCGCGUCGGGAGAGGAUAAGCGCAGAGGAGGAGAGGAGCGGCCAUUGACGAGAGCUUCAUUCCUCUUCCCGGGAAGUCCUGCUCUUCGAUUCGUACGGAUUGCGACUGGGGAUCGAGUUUCUGGCCUUUUACGAAAAAUGAUAUCAAAUUUUUUUUUUUUUUAAAUAUUGUAGAAUUGCGCAUAUGGUUUUGGGAUUAAAGUCCAAAUUUGCCCUCCAACUUGUGCAAUUCUUCAGUUGUGUCCUCCACUUCUCUUGGUGCAAAUCGAAUCCUCUAAAACUUGCUUCUUCUUUUUUUUCCCCCCAAUCAAUUUCUAUUUUCAAUUGUCAAACUUAAUGACAUUGACGAGUUAUUUGAUUUUCCCUUCUUUUGAUAUUACAAAACGAAAGCGAGGAAAAGGCUUUCGAAAUUCUAAAAUUUAGUGUAAUGGAGAAAACAAUUGGCAUAUCAAACGAUUGCUUUAAAAUAAUUAUUUUGUUAAUCAGAAAAUGGACUUACAUCUACAAUUCAAAAUCUAUGCAUCAAAGCAGUAUAAUAACCAUUUAUGAUCACAUCAUUAUUAUAUCUCACUUUAUAAUUUGAGAUCAUUUUAUUUUUGUAAUUAUAAUUUAGCAUAAUCGAAACAUAAUUAUUUUGUCCUAUUUACAUAUAGCAUCAGCAAAAUAAUAUAUACACCGUGUUUGGACAAGUCAAAUCAAUAUUCAGUACUUCAUUGAUGUUUUAAAAAAAUUGUGAAGGCUAAAUAACAUAUGGAAAAAGUUCCUAGUCAAAAGAAAAAGAAAUAAAUAGCAAUAAAGAAGGUUUAGGACAUUAUUGAACUUUCUUACUUUUCCACGUUGUGCCAAAUUAUAAGGAUGAUUGAUUCCUGAUCCAAGUUAAUCUCACUUAAGAAUCAAGAAUUAUAAUCAAAUGAGGAGAAUCGAUUCUUAAUUUUUGGGAGUAGGGAUCCAAUAGGACUGAAGUUCGAUUCGAUUCAAUGAAGUAUUUCUGUUAAUUCAAAAUGAAUUGAAAAUGAGAGACACUAUUAAAUAUUUUCAUAUAGCCUACGACUAAAUAAAAAGUUCAUCAUUACAUUAUAUAUUUGGCUAAAUUCUCUUAUUGUCUAUGUUUUUUGUUUUUAUUUGAAAGAAUCCACGAUAAAUUGGUCCUCCCGGCCCCACCCUCUCCCUCGCUUCCCUCGCUUCUCUCUCUCUCUCUCUCUGCAUUGAGGGUUCUGGCGAGCUUCAUUGCCGCAAGAUCUUGCGGCGAUUCAUCUUCGGCCGUGGGAUUUGAUUCGUCCGACUCGACCGGCCGCUGCCAGCUGCCACUACUCUGAUCACCAUGAAGGAUGCCUUAACGGCGGUCGGUUCAACUUUCCAUCCUGAAAUUCACUAAGCAUCGUCGGUGUAUAUGUGGGAACCAUACCCAGAACCAAGAGGAGAUCCUCUUUGGAUGGUUGUGGCGUUGGUUGCCAGAUUUCCGACGGUGUUAUUGCACGACAAUUCCCAUUAAGCAGAUGGAGAGAACCCCUUACAACAUCCUCGUAAGCCAAACUCACGAAUGAAUAAUGCAAUCAUAAAAUCUCUAUAGAGUACCGUUGAAAAUUAUGAUUCAUUUUCUCUAAAAUUAUGUAGAAAAAACUACUUACUUAAUCACGAAGGCAACAAUUACUAGCUGAAUCUAGAAGAUUUCAUGUGGAAUGCAAGCAAGCAGAAGCCAAGUUGAAAAAGAAAUUCUAGAAUAAGCUAGAGAAAGUGCAUGGGAAACACGUGAAGAAGCCACAAGCUGAUCAAGAAAAGGGGCACUUAAUAAAAUAAUAUUUUAAUAGUUACUGGAGCCUUCAAGGAGCAGGAUGCAAAGUUCAACUUGCUAGUAGUACCUGGACGUGAAGGAAAAGUUGCAGCCCACAAUUGUUGACUCUUAACCAUGAAGAAAGAAGGAUCAAGAGUACGUGGGCAGCAAUAGUACUAGGAGAAAAAGAAAAUUAGUCGUCUUACAGCUAAACUAUGGUGGUGACUAAGUUGGUUGUAGUUGCCUUUUGGGGUGUGUGAAGGGAAAACCCUCCACUUUAUACCUCCACCGGUUUGGAGGAGUAGAAUUAAGAUAGUUUCUAUAUCAUGAAAUAUUCCUCCAUUAUCAAAACAUCUUAUACUAUUCAUUUCUAUCAACUAGAUAAAUCAUACCUCAUGUUAUUUGUCUUUCAAUUAUCCUAUCUUAUUCAUUGUCUAUACACUACAAAAUAUACCAUACACUAGAACACAUCACUAACUAAAAAUUAUAAUUAAUACCAAAAUCAUGCUUCCACACACACAUCUAAAAUUUUUAACAAAUACAAAUAGCUUCUGCAACAUAUGGCAAAAACCCGACACCAAAUGAUGACCGGCAAACAUGUUGCUCGGCGCUUUUCAUGAAAUCACAACUGAGUUGGAUCAUCUGUUUGAGGAAGCGAGCUUCGAGCACGGUCUGUGUUCUAGACCAAAACGGAGACUGGACCAAAAAGAAACGCGAUUCAUCUCUGGUCCUUUCGCAAACCCUUCAGCCAUGACAAGAUAACGUCCGCGCCUUUCUCCCAUGAGCAAUCUAGCAUCAUGUCAUGAGCCACCCCUUCGACACAAAUCGGCGGCACACCAUAGUAUUCAGCCGUUUCUCGUAUGGCUUGAGCAUCCUAAGUACAAAACGGAGGAGAAACGUGAGCGGGAGUCCCGACCUUAGCUAAUGCAAAGUCAUUGAUGGUUUAUAGAGGGGCAAAAAAAUAUGGUCUAUGCAGACAUAGGCCUUCGAAGGCUCCGAGCAGAGUGUACCAUUUCGCAUACUUAUCCUUGAGAAGGAUUUAGAGACGAAUGCUCAUUCCUAGGCUACCCUUGUGUUACCGGCACAGAUGAUGAAAGCAGCAGAAGCUUUAGAAUUUAGUAAUUUACCAGUAAGAAAUCAUCAUUUGCGCCCACUACGAGAAUUUGAACGGAAGAUUUCGGCACAGGAGCUGGAAGAGAAGCAUUCAUCUGCCAUACAUCAAUUACCCGCAUCCUUGAACUACCCUUCAGUAGUUCCUGGUAACUACAGGAAAAAGGGAAAGUCUUAGGUCCCCCAAGAUUGUCAGAAAUGCAUUGAGGUGAUAAAUUUUUUUCUUCAUUUAGACAUAAUUAUUUAACAGAUGUCCAACUUGACAUUUGACAGAAUGAAUAUCGAAGAAGAUUCUCAUACGAAAGUACAAGCAUGGGAACCUACCGUUGCACCAGAUGAUCCUCCAUUGCAGCAGAAAAGAAUGUCUCCUUACAAAGCGGAAGAGAAGUUUGAAAACCUUUAAAAGCCAUGCUGCGAAUGGCCUAUCAAAUUCAAAGGCACUUCAGUAUCAAAUCAAGUCACACUGGAAAUGAGACAAGGAGAAUAGUUUCUCUUGACGAUAAGAAACUACCUUAUAAAUUGCUAUAGGUUUGGUAAAGAGAAACCGCCACGCCCUGCCCCUGAACAAAAAGGAGAAAGCAUUGGUGGAGCCCUUAAUAAUCAUUAAAGGGCACGUAUUUCUUAUGGGAUCUGAAAUCACCUAUUGCCGGAAGGAGGUACGGAGCAAAGAAGCACAGCUCCUUCGACGUCUGGGAACAAACCAUCCCUCUCUAAAUAGGAAGAAAAAACACAUAACAGGAUGAACGCCAAAUGAUUAUAUGACUAAAAUGUCAAAUACAGAUCAAUCUAAGAGACUCCCAUGAAAGAAUGAGCACAUCCAAGUAGCGAUCAGGAAUGGAUCCAUGCAUUAAGUACGCAUUAACACGAGUAGAAAGCUCAAAAAAUUCAAGCCUUAUGAGGUGCACACGGUGUGAUUUCUGCCCGGGGGCUCAGAUCAAAAAUUUGAGAUACACGUCUCCCGUUCAAAUAUGCUAAAAGAGAUGCCCAUAUCCAUAUCGUACAGAGACCAUCUUGAUGCAUAUGAAUAACAUGUUAUUGGGAACCAAGAUUGUGGAAGCAUUUCUCCACUCAACACGUGAAUGUCUGCUUUCAAAUCCUUUGCUGCUACGAAGCAAGAGCUUCACAAGAACCUCAAAGGCUUAAAGCUACUAUGCAUCGAUGCAGGUAUCUCAGAAUGCAGACUUAAACCAGCUAGAAGCUAACCUGUACUUUGCUUAUUUCUCAUGUUUGCUAUGUAGUGUUGGACAAAAAGCCCUCCGAAUGAAUGUCCAAUCAGAACCGGAGGCGAGCUAAGUUUUUUGUCAAUGAAGUCCGCAAUAUCAGCCGCAUGUGUCUAUAGCACAACACGAGAUGAGCAUAAAUAAGGACAGUGCCACUCUCUCUAUAUGUCUAAAUAGUCUAAUGGGAAAAAGGGAGAAAAAAAAAUGGCAUUAGCCCCUUGAAGAGAUUCUCAGGUCAAAGAGCCAAGAUACCUGGAGGGAACCAGCAACAGGAGCAGAUGGUGCAUCACUUUCACCCUGACAAGAAAAGGGAAGGUGGGGUUCACAUCGUAUUUCCAGACCAAGAACAGAGAUUAGAAACGAAUGCUAAUUUGGUUUAGAAUUUGGAGGUUCUUGGAGAAGUAAGCUGGGGUCAUACUAGACGUGACGAGCUGCACCGUUUUAAACCCGAAGUUUCAAACCGCACGCGUCUUUGUUACCUGACCGAGCAAGCUGACGGCAUAGCAGUCGAACCCGUGGCUGGAGAAGAAAGGCAGCCAAUGCUCAGCCCAGCACCAGGCGGCGUGGUAGCUCCCGUGCACAAACACUAGCGGUGGGUUGAGGUCUCCACCGCUUUUGCUGUCGCUUUCUUGUGCGAUGACCUCCAUGGACAGACCGGAGGGGAGCUCGUGGAAGAGACGAGUCUGGCCCGGCCUCAGUUCAUACUGGACCGCCAUUUUCGGUGCUCCGUCUCCGUCCACCGUGGCGCGUGGUUUGCUGCUCGUUCUGAGAGGGGAAGGAGUGCUGGGAGAGAGACAGGAAGCUAGUGACGAGAGCUUCGUUGCUCUUCCCGGGAAAUCCUGUUUUUCAAUUUGUAUGGAUUUCGAUUUGGAGUGACUUUCGGCAUGGCGGUGCUAUUUCCAGUCCUAAAUAAUAAAUCAGAAAUAAUCGGAUAACGGUCUAUAAUUCACUGGAAGAAUAGCAGUCCGUUCUUUAUUGUUAGGGGAUCAAAUUGGAUAUUAUCUUAUUAGGAAAGCAGUGAUAUAAUUUUCUAUUUCUGCCCCUUUACUUAACGAAAAAAUCCACUCAAUUUUCAUCAAAAAGAUACAAUUUAUCCUCAGUUAUUUAAUUGCAAUUUAAGUGCUGGCCCUGAAUUUAUUAACUUUUCAUUUUUUGAGUUUUUCUAUGGGAUUUAGUUACCAUAAUUCAUCCAUCCAGAUAAUUAUGUAUUGGAUAGGCUAUUGUUUCCUUUUUUUAUUAUUGUGAGAGGAUGAGAUUGGAUCAUAUUUUAUUAGGAAAGUAAUGAUGUAAUUUUCAGUUUUUGCUCGCUUGCUUGCCAAAAAAAAAAAAUCUACCUGGUUUUCAUCAAAAAGAAUAAAAAUGUCAUUAAUCAUUCAAUUGCAAUUUAACCGACGGCCUCAAAUUUAUUAGCUUUCUUUUUCUUUUUUUUUAGUUUUCCUAUUUCUCUAUAGGAUUUAGUUACCAUAAUAAAGAAUUUUACAUAUUUAAUUUUUCUUUAUUAUAGGUAUCAUAGAUAUAUUAAAGGCAAUAUGUUUUUUUUUUCAUUGUUAAUUUUUACUUCCAUGAAAUUUAGUUUUUUCAUAAAAAGAAAUUUCCAAUAAACCUCUAAUUCCUUUCGACAUUAUCAAGCAAAUUUAAGAACAAAAAAAUUACAUGGACAAUUUUUUGACGUAAUCACUUGUUUAAAUAUUUUCACUUUUGUUAUUCAUAUCAACAUCAAACCCCUUCUUAUUAGUUUUCUUCUAUGUCAUAUGAUUGGAUUAUUGGAUGAGGAAAAAUGAAAACCGAAUCACAAUUACAUUCUCCUAUGAAAAACUUUCAAAAAAAAAAAUUAAUUAUAUAAAAAAAUUGCAUAAAAUAAUAAUUUUUUUAAAAAUGCCAAUGAUCUCUCAUUAUUGAAUUGACAGAAAUUAUCAUCCAUGAAAUGAAUACCAUAAAAUAUCAAGAUGCCUUAGUGUGCAAAUGUUUUUAGUGUAUUCCUAGAUACUAUAUAGCAUCUUACAAAUUUGUAAAAAUAUCUCACCAAUAGCAUGGAAAAAAGAUAUGUUCUUUAAUAUAUUAAAUAAAGAGAUUUGGGAUAUACAUGUUUUAGAUUGAUGAAAUAAAAAAUAAAAAAAUUCAUAAAGAAAGCGAGCUUUUGACAGAGAAAUAACAAAUAAGUUUUUACUAGAGCAAUGAUAAAAAAAUAGACUUUUGAGUUUUUUAAAUCUAUUGAAUAAUUUGUCUUUUUUUCUUACUAAUGGCUUUUGUGUGGAGCAUGUACAAUGUUACAAUAAUAUAUAAAAAUACAAUAAAAAAUUUAAUUCAUUAAAAGAAAAUCAUGCGAAGUGCAUAACUAUGACAACUGGAUCCUUAAUUAAAAUAGAAAAGAUAGUAAAAAGAAUGAAUAGGGUAAUCACUUUAAUGUCACGGAUUUAAUUGGAUAGGGAUAGAAAUCGUGCCAUCCAAAUUGAAAUUCAUGUUUUUGAAAAAAUUAUAUAAUUGUACAUAACGGUUUGGAAUAAGUCCACAUUUAUCCUCUAAGUUGUGCAAUUUUUGAAUUGGCUCCUCAACUUUUUUUUAUGCAAAUUAAAUCCUCUGAUUUUAUAAGUAUUUUUCAAUCAAUUUCUUUUCUCAGUUAUCAAAUUUAAUUAUAUUGGUAGGUUGUUUGAUGUACCUUUCUUUAAUAUCAUAAAAUAAAUGGGAGAAAAAAGAGUUUCAAAAUUCUAAAAUUUAGUGUAGUGAAGAAAAGAGUAGGCACGUCAAACAAUCACAUUAAAAUAAGUAAGUGUGUUAAUCGGAAAGGACUUUGAUCAGAAAGAUAAAUAAGUUAGAUAUAUAUAUAGUAUUUGAGGACCCAAUCGUAAAAAUUGCUAAAAUUAGAUGACUAAAUGAGAAGGCCAUGCUUUAGUCAAUGAAUAUCCAUGUGUGCUCACAAAGCGCCAAGGCCAAGGGCGAAAACGAUUAUAUUUGCGGAUAAGUGAAUAGUUAUAUAAAGAUAUCAUCCUCAUUAUGCAUCUUAAUCGACUGGAUCAUUUGGAUUAACUGCUAGUUUAAUUUGAAUUUUGAAAUAAAAUUAUGGGUAUUCACUCUUUUAUUGGAUUAAAAAAAAAAAAGAUACAGGGAAGUAGAGUAGCAUGCACACAAACAAGAUCCCUUCAUUGGGGAAAUCAAAUUCGAACGUCUCGUAAUUUGGCAAUGAAUGCGAAGCAAGUGAUCAACUAUUGCUUGAAUGGCGGUUUGGCUAAAGGAAAAUGUCCGCGUCACUUUUUUUAUAUUAUUUUCUUCUAUUAUGUGACGAUGACAUAACUAAAAUUUGAAAUAUACAUCAUAUCGUUUUUGUCCAAAUUCGAUACAAUUUAUAUUAUUAUAAUAAAAAUAAAUAAACUUAAAAAACACAGAAGAGAAAAGGAAAAGGAAAAUUGAUGUGAUGACCGAACACAAGCCCCAACAUUACUGCGAAGGGCCAGAUUGCCGCCGGCCAUCCUCCACCAUCAUCAGGGCGACAGUGGAAUUACGAUGACGAUGGCGAAGGCUAUAAACUGUCGUUUGCAUUUUCCUUCAUUCCUUUUUUAUAUUUAUUUGUUAAGUUUUCUUAUUUUAUAACCUAUCUUAAAUAAACUUUACAUUAAAAAAUUUAGAUUUGAACCAAAACAAUAUCAUUUUAGUCACAUUAUCGUUGUCACAUCCCGAACCUCUGAGCACGCGAACAUCUCACCAAGUCGAUAAAUAUAACAGGGAUAGCACGUAAAACACCACAACAUCAAACCAAACACUUCAAUUACAAAUUUAUUGUUAACUCUAGGAAGUUUAGUGAUUACAAGCCUUUACACCAGCAACUUCCAACCAACCAACAAAAACCAACAGUAAGUUAGGGUUAAUCUAAACUACUAACGCCAGCCCAAAUCUCUCAUCUCCAAAGGGACCCCCAACCGAGUACGACGGUUUUCCAUACUACGGGCUUGAAAAAUAUUAAACAACAACAGAGUAAGAUAUUAAUAUUUCAACGAGUUAACGACCUAAGCCUCAACUAGGAUGCUAAUUCGUCUCGAAGGCAGCCUAAACAUACAAUGUUAUAUCGAUUGCAAAUCAAUAACAAAGCAACCUUGCUUUGCCUUAACUAUGAACAUGGUCAGGCAAUCAAUCCCAAUAACAAAUAUUAAAGCUGUCAAGUAACCCGUAGGCAUCCUUACCUCGCCUUGGCGCAUCUUGCACAGUAGUUAAUCACAUGUGCCAAUAUCAAUGCAUUAAGCAUAACUAAUAAUCAAAACACAUUUCAUAGUAUCCAUGUGAUUUGCCAAUACAUGUGUUCCAAUUAUUAUGACCUCUCGGGCCACAUCCACCACAAGGGUUAGUGGUCUUCUGGCGUGACCAGGUAUCGUCUCGCCCCAUCGGGUAUAGCAACGUCUAGAACCCCUGCCUAUAUGGCAUUCUAUAAAUGAGCAUCGGUCCAGUCUCAACUGUGACUCAACAUCCAGACCCCCGCCGGGCACAUCACCCUCAAACUCUCGUUGGGUGACGGGUUCAAUUAAGUGACCACUCAAGCACGUCAACACUCAAGCUGGUUUUUAUCUGCCAUCAAUUAGCCUAGUGCAAAAGAGUUUGUGCUCAAAUAAUAAAUCUCGGAAAAUCUUUACACUUAAAAUUCCGGUAAAAUAAUCUCAUGUGAUCAUGUACUUAAUAUCAAUUCGUCAAAUUUUGCGUACUUUCAUUUUAAAGCCCUGAUUGCCCUAUUUAACACAUAAAACAUGGCAUCUAAACACGACACCUCAAAUUUGCCAUUUUCUUGUAAGUAAAACCUUCUUUUAAAAAUAGUAUACAAGGUUUCUAACUUGGGCAAUAAAUUAUCAUGGCAUCACAAAAUUAAACCAACAUAAAACAUGCAUAGAUUCAUCCCAUAAAUCAAGUAUAAAACACAUAAAAAUCACCUCUUAUCACUAUUGCGAUAGCUUAUCAACCCUAAACCAAUAGCUUAUCGUCCAUUUAGCGAUAGAUUAUUGUCUAUUUUCCGAUAACUUAUCACCCGUUUGGUGAUACCUUAUCUCCAAUUUCUCGAUAGCUUAUCAUCCAUUUGGUGAUAGCUUAUCACCUAUUCUUGAUAACCUAUUAAGUCCACUUAUCACCUAUCUCGAUAACCUAUCGAGUUCACUUAUCACCUAUCGCGAUAACCUAUCAAGGCUACUUAUCACCUAUUGUGACAACCUAUCAACUAAACCAUAUUAAUUACCAUUAGCCUUAAUCUAAACCACCCAUAUACACAAUUAACAUAAUAAUAAAAUAUUAGGAAGUUAACUCACAGUUUUACGGCGACAGCGAGCUAAUGGCGAUCGCAAUGCGAUGAUGACGAGAAUGUGGAGCUCAUAGUUCAAACGGCGACACCACAGCAGCGGCAAUAGCCUGAGCUCACGGCGAAGGAAGCUUGGUAGCUUGGUGGUGGUCCGGUGGUGAUGGUGGCUUGCGGCUUGAGGGAUGGCAAAUGGUAAGGUGGCACGGUACGAUGACGUAGGGCAGCAAACCGAGACAGAAAGAGAGAGGAAUGUGUCACGGGCCGAUCGAUCGACUCUGGGAAACCUCUCGGGUCGACUCUCUUUAGGCCCGUGACAAAUGGGUAUGAGAUGAGAGAGAGGGAUGAAGGAAAAUUCGUCCAAAAGGAGGGGUAGAGAGAGAAAGUGAGAGAAAUGAGGGAAAAAGAUGAAAACUUUUAGGAAAAAGUUUAGGCAAUUGUGUGGUUAAAAUUUACCCUUGCUCCCCAAGUUGGAAUGGAGGGCCAAGAUGUGCUCUUACUCCUCAAGCUAGGACUUCAAGUCAAGGAGUAUUAAUGAAUUAAGACUUUGAAGGCAAGCCCAAAAUUAGGCUUCUAGAGGCAAGGUUACUAUUCACGCACACUAUUCAUUAGGGCUUGGGUUUGGGCUUGACAAACUUUGACUUAACUCAUCCAAUUUGGACCUUUAAUUUGGGCGUGAGGCCCAUUGGGCCUUCGCUUGGCCCGGCUCCAUUUCCAACUUCCAAUUCUCGACAUACUAAUCAUUGUCCAAAGAUUAAGGCUUAGCGAUAAAUUGAUAGAUAAAUGAGCCGAUGUCUGAUAGGUUGAUCUUAAAAUCCUUGAAAGUUGAUACCCGAAAUCGGAUUAAAAUCCAUGGUUGAAAUCGAUCAAAUGCAAUUUUAAUAUGACCUAAACUAUCAGUGUAUUGAUGAAAUAACUAUUUCAUAUAUUUCGAAAUGGGUCAAAUUUCAGGAUAUCACAAUCGUUACACAGGAUGGUUAAAUUAAUAAAAAAACUACGUUAUCAUUUUCCAUUAGCUAAGUUGGACGAACUUAAUAGAAUGAUUUAAUAACACAAAUUUGACAAACUUUAGGAUUUAAUUAUAAUUUUUGAAAGAUUAGAAUUCAAUUAUUUUUUCAUAACAGUGUAAUUAUCCCAACAAAGAAAGAAAAACCCAUUUCGGAGAAACAAUUGCAAAUUGAAAGACUUUUGAAUACGAAAUUUUGAAUGUGAAAUAGAAAUAAUACAAUUAGAGAAGAUUUAGGGCGCGUUUGGUAACGAUUAUGUUCUCGAGAGCUGAUUCUGACUAGAAAUGAUUAUUUUUGAUUAUGUUCCCGGGAACUGAUUCUGAGUAAAAAAAUGUGUUUGGUAACUGUCCAAAUUUUUUUAUUUUGGAAUAGAAUUGCGUUUGAUACUGAGCUAAUUGAUUAUGUUUCAAAUUAAUUUCUUUUGAUUUUUAAAUAAUUUUUUAAUAAUUUUUUUACUUUUUUCUUUUCUUUUUUUCCUAUUCUUCUUCUUCUUCAUGUGGUCGGUCGCUGACCCUCGGCGAGGUCGGCCCUCGUCGGUCGAGCCUUGUUGGUAGCUGGGCAAGGCUUGCCCAGCCCCGUUGAGGCUCGGCCUCGCCCAGUCUCGGUGGGGUUAGGCGAGCCUUGCCAGCAGCUGGGCGAGGGUCACCCAGCCAGGCCGGCGGGGCUAGGCGAGCCUCGCCAGCAGUUGGGCGAGGGUCGCCCAGCCACCGGUGAGGCUCGACCUUGCUCAAUCUAGCGAGGCUCAUCAAACCUCGCCCUAGCCUAGCGAGCCUUCGGCAAGCUCGUUGGAUCGGUGACUGGUAAUGGACGGCGGCGGUGGGCGGCGGCGGACGGUGGCGAGCGGUGGUGGACGGCAAUUGCGAGACGAUGGAAAGGAAGAAUGAGAGUUUCACAGUUUUGAUUUUUUUUUUUAUUCUUGGACGAAGAAUCAUAUUUUUUUUUAUUUUUAAUUCUCUUCCCAAUCUAUUCUCGGGAACAUAAAUUUUAUUAAACGCGAUUCUCGUCUCAAACUGAUCUAGGAACAAAAAAUUAGAAUCAGGCAUUGUUUGGCAUGUCAGGCGCCUGUUUGGCAUGUUGUCCUUUUAUUUAGUUCCAUAAAAAAUACACCUAUACACUAGUAUAAAUUUGUGAGUUUAUGAUUAAAAAAAAUUUAAAGUAUUUAUAUCACAAAUGUCAAGUGUAGAAUUUUCAGUGCAAUAAACCGAGAAAGAAAGAGCAAUAAAGAAGCUUAAAGGGCAUCAUUGAAUUUUCUUACUUUUCCACAUCGCGUCAGACCACAGUCAGGGUCUCCUCCGGAGUUCCAUCAUUUCACGUCCCUUUUAUAAAAGAAUCCCACGAUAUAUCGGUCUCCUCUCUCUCUCUCUCUCUCUCUCCUCUUUCUUUCUGCGCUGCGCUGAGGGUUCUGGCGGAGCUUCACUGCCGCGAGAUCUCGCAGCGAUCCAUUUCCCGGCCGCGGGGAUCCGAUCCAUCCGCCCCGGCCCGACCCGAACCGAACCGGCCGCCCGCCGAUCCGACCGACCAUGGCGGCCGCCAACGCUCCGAUCACCAUGAAGGAGGCCUUGACGGUCAGUUCACCUUCCCCGUCCAUCGUCACCGAAGCGUCGUCUCGCCGCUUGAUCGGAGCGUGUCGAAGCGAAGCUCAAUUUCCAGCUGCGGGCGCGAAGAGCGCGCGCGGGAGGGACUUUGAGACGCGUCGUCGUGGUUUUGAGAUCGUCGAUGGCUUUUUUCGAGUGGUCUUAGAUCACUGACAGCCGUACAGUUUGGAUGAAUUCGUGUCGUAGCUACUGUUUGCGCUAGGCUAGGCGCGGUGAUUUGGUGCCCUAGUUUGGAUAGGGCGACUUCGAUUUCAGUUCAGAUCAGCGGAGACGACGCUGGUGAUUUGACUCGGUAUUCGAGCGGUUUGAAAUUGGUCGCGUUACUGGGGGGCUUGGGAAGUUAGAGAUGGGGUUUAGCUUCUUUCUCUACUUUUAGCGAGUAAUUGAGGUGUCUACUGGUCUGAUCUUUUUUUGAUUGCAGCUUCCGAGCCUGGGCAUCAGUCCACAGUUCAUCACCUUUACGCAUGUCACGAUGGAAUCCGAGAAGUACAUCUGCGUGCGCGAAACGGCACCUCAGAAUAGCGUGGUCAUCAUCGACAUGAGCAUGCCUAUGCAACCUUUGAGGAGGCCUAUUACUGCGGACUCAGCACUGAUGAACCCAAAUUCUAGAAUUCUCGCUUUGAAAGGUGUGGUGGACUUGUUUCUGAGAACCAUUUGAUACUCAGUUUAGCUUUCUACUAAAUUCAUAUGUCGCUGCCCUUUUACUGUAGAAUAUGCGUGAACUGCUGUAUCCAUAGUUCGUAUUGCUUUGAUCGCUCAAUUACCGUGCACUUUUACCUUCUUUUGUGGGAGAUAGCGAUUUGGUAGCCAGGCGUAAUGGACCUGUCCUUUCUUACUGUUUAUGGUGAUAAAUUUGCACAAUGUUGGGAUUCUUGUUACCUGUCAAUUGCUCAUAUAAUUAGCCACAGCAGGACGUUUAGGGUGUGUAAGUUCCGAGAUGUUAUUGUAUAGUGAAAGAAUGUUUCUACACAUCUCUUCAUAUUUCUCAAUUUCUUAUGGUUUCUCAAGUUUGGUCAAACUGACAAAUCUUAGCAGAUGGGUCCCCUAAUUGAGAGUAACUCGAUAGUGGAUGUUUAUGGUUAGUAUAUCAGGCCAAUAUGUGAUGGAUGAAACAUUAGAUGAAUCACGUUUCUACGCCAAUCUGGGUUUUUUGCCUCUUGAUGUCUGGUCAGUUGAGAUAGAUUGCAUAAAAAGUAUUGGGUUAGACAGUGUUUCUCUGGAAGUUGGUAACUUGUCAAAGCCAUGAAUGUGUACUUCUGCCAAAAUCUUGAAACGACAGUUUGUGGUGCAGCAUCAGUGUGGUGAAUUUCUCUCCAAGCAUGGAGUUGAAUGCACUUUAGUGACAUAUCUUCUUCAUUUUUCUUUUUAUGUUGUUACGUGCUCCUUGUUAAUUAGCUGUUACAUCCUUUGUGAAGCCCAACUUUCCGGAACCACUCAAGAUCACUUGCAAAUAUUCAACAUUGAGAUGAAAGCAAAAAUGAAGUCUUAUCAGAUGCCAGAGCAGGUGCUGUCCACUUGCUUCCCCCUUGAUCUGAUGUUAUCUUUUUCCCAAAAGGCUUCGAGGUUGACCUAAUUCAGGUUCUUCCAUGUAUAGGUUGUCUUUUGGAAGUGGAUUACUCCCAAAUUGUUGGGUCUUGUCACCCAAACCUCGGUAUAUCAUUGGACAAUUGAAGGUACCUGGCUUUUUUAUGCUACAAUUAGUUACAGUCGAUGGUGCUUUACUUUAGUUUUUGUCACCAUCUUGUCUGAUGUGUAUUGUAGGCGUACUAAUGUGUGUGCUAUCAUGUCUUCUACUUCAGAAUGUUAUCCAUCGUAUGUUUCUAAAAGAUAACCUAUCUUCAGGUGAUGCUGAGCCUGUAAAGAUGUUUGACAGAACAGCUAAUCUUGUCAACAACCAGAUAAUAAAUUAUCGAUGUGACCCUUCCGAAAAAUGGUUGGUUUUGAUUGGAAUUGCUCCUGGUUCGCCUGAGGUACGUAGAAUGUAUUCUGUUGUUUAUCUAAAUAAAGGUAUUUAAAAGAACUUGCUCUGUGUUGGAGAAAAAUUCACAUGAAGAAGAAUAAGAGAAAAAAGUCUCUCGAGUGGCCACCUGUAGCUGUAGGUGAAUAUGAAAAAGGACUUUCUCCCUUCCAAUUGCUAAUUAUGGAAAAAAAAGAAAAGCAUGUCUGUUGUAGGGGCACGUGAGUUGUGUGACAGUAUGAUUUGACUUGACUCUUUUUUAAAUUUACACUGCUCUAAUUCUAGUGGAGAUGGUUUCUCAAAUCUCAGUGGCCCAUGAAAUGUGUCUGUGAAUGCCGUGGGUCUGCACUCUUGGGGUUCAUUCUUUAUCUGUCAUCAUGUUUCUAAUUCUUUCUGAAACUUUUUCUCUAUGGAAGUGUGAAGUUUGUGGUCGGUGCAUCAUUAUUCAGACUUUCUAUAAAGCAUGUGUGGUGUCAAUAGUUUUCGUGUUUCUAAAAUUUCUAGUCACCUUUGAUGGUCAAGUAACUUUGAUAUCCAAAUCUCUCUUCUAGCGGCCACAACUGGUGAAGGGGAAUAUGCAACUUUUCUCUGUGGAGCAGCAGCGUAGUCAAGCCCUUGAAGCACAUGCUGCAUCAUUUGCAACUUAUAAAGUGCGGGCACUUCACCUAUCUUUUUAAUCUUUUGGAUCACGUGCUUCGGUUGUGAACCUGUUAAUCUCUCUCCUCCUCAUGUACAGGUUCCUGGGAAUGAGAAUCCUUCAACUCUCAUCUCCUUUGCAACGAAGACUGUUAAUGCUGGUCAAAUUGCAUCAAAGUUACAUGUUAUCGAGCUGGGUGCCCAACCAGGUGUUGUUACAUUGUGUCAUAUGAUUCUAGUCUCUUCCUUUCAUUCAUUCACGGAUCUCAAGAUUCCAUCUGGAUCUUAUCUAUUGCUUGCUUCUUCUAACAAUGCACUUAUAUUAGCAGGGAAGCUGUCUUUUACGAAGAAACAAGCGGAUCUUUUUUUUCCUCCUGAUUUUGGUGAUGAUUUUCCAGUGGCAAUGCAGGUAUUGGGUGGUGAUGUUUGAUUCUCCUGAAAAUGUUAGAAAAUUGCUGCAUAUGAAUUAGAUUUUGGAUUUAUUUGGUGCAGAUAUCCCACAAAUACAGUUUGAUAUAUGUGAUCACCAAACUUGGGCUGCUAUUUGUCUAUGAUUUGGAGACAGCUACUGCUGUAUACAGAAACAGAAUUAGUCCAGAUCCAGUAUUUCUAACUGCAGAAGCUUCAUCAGUUGGCGGUUUUUAUGCCGUAAACAGGCGUGGCCAGGUCUUAUUGGCUACUGUAAAUGAGGCAACGAUUGUGCCUUUUGUUAGUGGCCAAGUAAGUGCAUCGGAUUUGUGUAUCUUCAUAGUCUUCAAAUUUCACCUCGGAUGCUCAUUUAUCGUGUUAACAAUAAUUUGGUGAUUCUGCAGCUGAACAACUUGGAGCUUGCUGUGAAUCUUGCAAAGAGAGGAAAUCUUCCUGGUGCAGAGCAGCUGGUAAUGCAUUAUACUCAUAAUUCUGAGUAAUUUGUCUACAUACUGGAUGAUUGAUGGUGUAAGAGUAAGUAUGGCAUAACUUGUGACCAAAUGAGGGCAAAACUGAUUGGUUUGGGUAUAUUAGAAUUUAUCUACAUAUGCACGUGGUCAUUCUGUGCCCUUUGUUAUCUCUUUUCUAUCAAUCAAAGAAUCUCCUCUAUGUUCAUCUCUGUUCUGUCUAUCUUGGCACAUACUCGUGCUCCCAUAGGCCUAUCAUUGAACUUCAGUUGUGUAAUCAAGGCAAAUGGAACAGUUGCACAAUCUUGAACCUAGUGAGUUCAGUUCUCCUAUAAUGAAGUAGACUAAUCAAAUUUGAUUCUUUGUUUGGUUGAUCUGGAGGUUUUAUCUUGGUAUUUUUUUUGUUCCCCAACUUUGAGAUGUGAUUGACAAAUAUGCCUUGAAGCAGUUAUAGUUUUCUUAAUAUAACCGUACUUUUAGUUCUGCUUGAUGUGGUCACUCUGAGAGCAUGUCAAAUGUGCUCUUGUAAAUUUUCAAAUACCUCAGAGCAGAUAUAACUUGCAUAAUGAGAUCAGAAUACGUUUCCAAAUUUAUCAGGUUGUGCAACGUUUCCAAGAACUCUUUGCUCAAACUAAAUACAAAGAAGCUGCUGAGCUUGCUGCUGAGUCUCCGCAAGGAAUACUUCGCACCCCGGACACAGUUGCUAAAUUUCAGGUGCUUGUCUUUCUGACAUUUAGAAUAGGUUUUUUGGUGAUCAUAUUGGUACAUCUUUUUCUUGUACAAAUACAACCCCGUUCCAUGGUCCUGACUGAAGUUGUUCAUUACCAUCAUAGUAUGAAAAAUCUGGGUAUAUGUAUUUUUUAUUAGAUGAUUCAGUUUUCAGAUUCUGUUGUAGCUUUCUUCUCCUUAUUCGGAAAUUAAUCCAUGGUUUGAAGAAUUACCUGACUAAUGGAGACUGUCUUAUCGAUAAAAUUGCUUAGUAUGGUAAGAAGAGUUUCUAUCAGGGACUGAUUAUAUCUAUGGCUUCUUUUCUGCAAUAAUAGAAUUUGUAACAGCUCUCCUGGAAUAUUAUUUGACAGAAGAUAUGAACUUUUCAUCCUUGCCAAUACUGCAGAGUGUCCCAGUGCAAUCUGGGCAAACACCACCUCUAUUGCAAUACUUUGGGACCCUUUUAACCAGGGGAAAGCUUAAUGCAUUUGAGUCAUUGGAGCUAUCACGCCUGGUCGUGAAUCAAAACAAGAAAAACCUUCUUGAGAACUGGUUGGCUGAGGAUAAGCUGGAAUGCAGUGAGGAACUUGGGGAUCUUGUGAAGGUGGGGUUUUUAUUAAUGUUCUUUCUUUCUUUCAACUUCUUUAGUUCUAAAACUUCUUUAGUUCUAAGAUCUACAUGAUCUUGAAUAGUUCCUGGAUAUAAGAAUAGGUUAGUCUGUAUAUGUAGGUGUUUUUCUGCUUAUAUACUUGGUCUUUUCAUUGCAGACCGUUGAUAAUGACCUCGCAUUGAAAAUUUAUAUCAAAGCCAGAGCAACUCCAAAGGUAGUUGCAGCUUUUGCUGAGCGGCGAGAGUUUGACAAAAUUCUGAUAUACUCAAAGCAGGUCAGCGGAACUUUCCUAUCCUUUUCUUUACGUAGGGUUUUGAAUGCUCUAUACAUUUUUACAGUCCUCUUGUUGCUAUUUCGUCACUUCAGUUUUUUGAAUCUUAUUGCUGCCUUUUGUCUUCUAGGUUGGGUACACGCCAGACUAUCUCUUCCUUUUGCAGACAAUUCUGCGAACAGAUCCUCAGGUUUGCUCUCUGCAGUCAUAUCUCAUAUUACCUCUCUUGCCGUGUCUCUGUCCUAGGCAAAGAAAAGAAACUGCAGUAUAGCUACUAAUACCCCCAUGGCUAUGCACAUGAGCAACUGAUCACAUGUGCAGACAUAUUUUCACCAAAAUUUGUUAUGUGGCAUGGGAAAGGGUGGUAUAACUGGUGCGGUGUAUGAGUCAUGUGACUAUGGUUCUUGUUUGCUCUUUCAGCUCACUGUAAUUUUUGCCUUGUGGGUAAUUUACCUUUCUGUCCUUACUCCUAUUUGGACUACUGAAGGGCAUUGAUGGCAUUAGUUCAGUGAAUCCCCUACCCUACAUUUUUCACUGCUUACGUUGACCUUGGAAUAGCAUAAUAUUUGGUUUUGCAGCAAGUUAGCGUAAUGUUGGGUAGAUUUUGUUUCAGAUGCAUGCAUAGUCCAUAAAAAACCAGUGCAUGAAAUAGCUAGUGUCCUUUGACCCACAAAAAGAAGAAGAAGAAGAAGAAGAAGAAGAAAGAAAUAGCUAGGUUCAGGUGGUUUUUUCGUGAAGAGGGAGGUGGAAGGGGAGGAUGACAGCUUGGACAUUUUUAUAAAAACCCCUUUUUUGGCCAAGAAAAUUCAUAUAAACUUAUGUGGAUUGCAUCCCUGUUGGUGUGCGCUGUGGGCUGCACAUGCUUGUGUGAUCAUUGAAUAUAUUAUGUUUUAACAUAUUUCUCACACCAUCUAAACAUAGAAAGUUUUCUGAUUUCUUUACUUCAGGGAGCUGUCAACUUUGCAUUAAUGAUGUCCCAAAUGGAGGGAGGCUGUCCAGUGGAUUACAACACUAUAACAGAUCUCUUUCUUCAGGUUUGGCUAUAACAUUGUUUCAGUUAAUCUGUUAUGGUUUUCAAUUUUUUAGGCUGCUCUCUGUAUUUUAAUUUGUUGCUCUUUGUAGCAACAUACGCAUGAUGCUACAAGGGCUUAUCUAAGGUUGCUAGUCAGUUUUUUUUUUUUUUUUUUGGGUAAAUAGUCAUAUUCAUUUUUGUGCAUAAGCAUGUGAUAUGUCUGAUUCCAUCUGGCACGUGCAGAGGAAUUUGAUCCGAGAAGCGACUGCAUUCUUGUUAGAUGUACUAAAACCAAAUUUGCCAGAACAUGCUUUUCUUCAGACAAAGGUAAUUGAUAAUAUCAGUACCAAGGAUACUCUGUAGUUUUAUAUGAAUAUAUUUGUGACUUUUGUCACUAACAAGGCUUCAAUAUCAUAGGUUCUUGAAAUCAAUCUGGUCACUUUUCCAAAUGUAGCUGAUGCCAUCUUGGCUAAUGGCAUGUUCAGUCACUAUGAUCGUCCUCGAAUUGCCCAACUUUGUGAAAAAGCAGGUCUCUUUGUUAGGGCCCUUCAGGUAUAUAUCCUGAGAUUUCUGUGUUAAUCUCAUGUGUAAUAUGUGAAAUUCGAUUAUUCUGAUGUUGACUAUCUAUUAUCUUACAGCACUAUACUGAGCUGCCAGAUAUCAAACGUGUCAUUGUGAACACACAUGCUAUUGAGCCACAGGUUUGCAUUUUUUUUUUUGUUUCCUUUUUUUAUUGUGGGUACUCUGAAAUUGGGCCUAAUAUUUUGGGAUUACCUGCAGUCACUUGUUGAGUUUUUUGGUACACUAUCGCGAGAGUGGGCUUUGGAGUGCAUGAAGGACCUUUUGUUGGUCAAUCUGAGGGGCAAUCUUCAGAUUAUCGUACAGGUGUUGUAUCUUUCCUUUUCUUCUUAAGUUUCUCCUCUCCCAUUUUCAGUAACUACAUGAAUGAUACGUGUACAGGUUGCCAAGGAAUAUUGUGAGCAGUUGGGUGUUGAUGCAUGCAUAAAGAUUUUUGAACAAUUCAAGUCGUAUGAGGGGUUGUAUUUUUUCCUAGGCUCGUACUUGAGCUCCAGGUUAGUGAAGGAUAUAUUUCCCUGUUAUUUGUUCAUAGUUCACUUAAAACUGCUGUGUUGGUAUUUUGGAUGAAGCUCUCUCCUUUCUUGUCAAUUGUGCCAGUGAGGAUCCUGACAUUCACUUCAAGUACAUUGAGGCUGCUGCUAAAACUGGACAAAUUAAAGAGGUGGAACGUGUGACUAGAGAGUCAAAUUUCUAUGACCCUGAGAAGACUAAAAAUUUCCUGAUGGAGGCCAAGCUUCCUGAUGCACGGCCACUAAUUAAUGUUUGUGAUCGUUUUGGCUUUGUGCCUGAUCUCACACAUUAUCUUUACACAAAUAACAUGCUUCGAUAUAUCGAGGGCUAUGUCCAGAAGGUACGAGGUCUUAUGACUUCCAGCAUCGACUUUCUGCAUUCACUUUUUGUAUAGUUUCUAAGAUUGUUUUCCUCUCUUGGUAGGUCAACCCUGGAAAUGCUCCUUUGGUAGUGGGGCAGCUGAUAGAUGAUGAAUGCCCAGAAGAUUUCAUAAAAGGCUUAAUUCUUUCUGUUCGAUCUUUGCUACCAGUGGAGCCUCUUGUUGAUGAGUGUGAAAAGAGGUGUGGAUUCGCCUCUUUCUUGCUCCGGCUCUCUGAUGCUCCAGUUCUGUGAUGGUUUAUCAUCUUUACGAGCUUCUGAUCAAAUUAGUGUUCUCAUGUGUGGGAUCUGGUUUGCAGGAAUCGACUCCGUUUGCUCACUCAGUUUUUGGAACAUCUCGUGAGUGAGGGAAGCCAAGAUGUACAUGUCCACAAUGCUUUGGGUAAAAUCAUCAUCGAAAGUAACAACAAUCCGGAGCAUUUUCUCACAACCAACCCAUACUAUGAUUCACGUGUUGUGGGUAAAUAUUGUGAGAAACGCGAUCCUACUCUUGCGGUUGUGGCUUACAGGAGGGGCCAAUGUGAUGAAGAACUUAUCAAUGUGACCAAUAAAAAUUCCCUGUUCAAAUUACAAGCCAGGUUUGACACAUGCUUCAUGUCACAAAUUUGAUUAUCAUUGAUAGAAUCAUCUGUUUCUUUGUUAACUUCAUCUCAUUAUCAUAGGUAUGUAGUUGAAAGGAUGGAUGGUGAUCUAUGGGAGAAAGUUCUGGACCCUGAGAACUCUUAUAGGAGACAGCUAAUUGAUCAGGUUGUCUCUACGGCUUUGCCUGAGAGCAAGAGCCCAGAACAAGUUUCUGCAGCCGUUAAAGCUUUCAUGACAGCUGAUCUUCCUCAUGAACUGAUUGAGCUUCUUGAGAAGAUUGUGCUUCAGAAUUCUGCUUUUAGUGGGAACUUCAACUUGCAGAACUUGCUUAUCUUGACGGCCAUCAAGGCAGAUCCAUCUCGAGUUAUGGAUUAUGUAAAUAGACUGGAUAACUUUGAUGGACCAGCGGUUGGGGAAGUAGCUGUGGAAGCCCAACUUUAUGAGGAAGCUUUUGCAAUUUUCAAGAAGUUCAAUUUGAAUGUCCAGGCUGUAAAUGUCUUACUGGAUAAUAUUCAAAGCAUUGAGCGAGCGGUUGAGUUUGCAUUUAGGGUUGAGGAAGAGGCUGUUUGGAGUCAGGUAGCCAAGGCCCAACUAAGGGAGGGUCUUGUCAGUGAUGCUAUCGAGUCAUUUAUCCGUGCAGAUGAUGCCACUCAGUUUUUGGAUGUUAUUCGUGCUGCUGAGAAUGCUAAUGUCUAUCAUGACUUAGUGAAGUACCUUCUGAUGGUGAGGCAAAAGACGAAAGAACCCAAGGUGGAUGGUGAGCUCAUAUUUGCAUAUGCCAAGAUUGAUAGAUUGGGUGAGAUUGAGGAAUUCAUCCUGAUGCCAAAUGUCGCCAAUCUUCAAAAUGUUGGUGAUCGCUUGUAUGAUGAAGGCUUAUACGAAGCUGCCAAAAUCAUUUUUGCCUUUAUUUCUAACUGGGCCAAGUUGGCCAGCACACUUGUGAAGCUGGGACAAUUCCAGGGAGCUGUUGAUGCAGCUCGAAAGGCCAAUAGCGCAAAGACAUGGAAGGAAGUUUGCUUCGCCUGUGUUGAUGCCGAGGAGUUCCGCUUGGCACAAAUGUGUGGUCUCAACAUCAUCAUACAGGUGAUUUAUUGAUUCCGUGUUCAUUCAUAGACAACUUAGUCAUCUUUCUUUCUUCUUUUUCUAGCUCUUCGCAUAGAACACUUUCGACAGGAAGAAACUAUGAGAGCUGGUAAACUGGAAAUUUGCACUUGGGUUGCCUCUUUACUUGCUUUCUGGAUGGACAUAUAGCAUGCUUCUUGCUACUUCAGUUGACUGCAUCAUUCGCAUCUCCCAGCCCAUAUUCACUCAAAUUUGCCUAUGUGAAUGCUGCAGGUGGAUGAUUUGGAAGAAGUCAGUGAAUAUUACCAGAACAGAGGAUACUUUAAUGAGCUUAUCUCUCUCAUGGAGAGUGGUCUGGGUUUGGAACGUGCACAUAUGGGUAUUUUUACCGAGUUAGGUGUCCUUUAUGCAAGAUACCGUCCGGAGAAGCUCAUGGAGCACAUUAAGCUGUUCGCAACUCGGCUUAAUAUUCCCAAGCUUAUACGAGCUUGUGAUGAGCAGCAGCAUUGGAAAGAGCUCACUUACUUAUACAUCCAAUACGACGAGUUCGACAAUGCAGCAACGACCAUAAUGAACCAUUCUCCUGAAGCAUGGGAUCACAUGCAGUUUAAAGAUGUGGUCGUCAAAGUUGCCAAUGUUGAACUCUACUACAAGGCUGUGCACUUCUAUUUGCAAGAACAUCCUGAUUUAAUCAACGAUGUUCUCAAUGUGCUUGCACUUCGUGUGGAGCAUACACGUGUUGUUGACAUUAUGCGAAAGGUUUCACAUGCAACUUUGAAGCUGUAUCUUGGCCUCGCUUUUGUUUUGCUUGUUCUAACUUUGUGGGUAAAUGAUUGUGUACUCUCAAUUUCAGGCUGGUCAUCUGCGGCUUGUCAAGCCUUACAUGGUUGCAGUACAGAGCAACAAUGUUUCUGCUGUUAAUGAAGCUUUGAAUGAGAUCUAUGUAGAAGAGGAAGAUUAUGACAGAUUGCGUGAAUCUAUUGAUUUGCAUGAUAACUUUGAUCAGAUAGGCCUUGCACAGAAGGUUAUACAACAUUCCUUUGCCGUGGGCUUUUACAUUUGGGUAUAUUCUUAUUUAUUUACAAGUGCUGUUUUACCUUGAGCAGAUUGAGAAACAUGAGCUUCUUGAGAUGAGACGUGUUGCUGCUUAUAUCUACAAGAAGGCUGGUAGAUGGAAGCAAUCAAUCGCAUUGUCCAAAAAAGAUAACCUUUACAAAGAUGCCAUCGAAACAGCAUCUCAGUCUGGUGACCGUGAACUAGCAGAAGAGUUGCUUGUUUAUUUCAUUGAAAAGGUACUUCUUUUGCAAAUGAAUCCUCUGUUGUCUGAGUGGGAGUGCUUUCUGCAGAUAGGAAUUAACUGUCUAGAGGUUCCUAGCUGGCUGAGAUUAAUUUGCCAAUUUAUGUGAAACUAUGUUAAGUUGAAAUUCUUUGCUUGUAGUAAUGCAUGCAGAUGUCUUUUAAGUGCUGUCUCUUUUUGGAGUCUGCAGCAGAAGAAUAUGUGGUUGUCAUUUGUACAUUUGCAUUCAUAUACAGUUGUUUAUUGGUAACACUUUAGCACUGGUGGUGUGAUGGCUUCGUGGAUCUGAGACAGACAUGGUUGAACAAGGUGUCUCUUUGGAUAGGAAGAUGAUCAACAUGUGUCCAACUGGAUUCUCUUUGUUUUGAUCUUUUCGUUUUGUAUUAUUUUGUUUUUAGUCCCUGUCUCCUCCCUUAAUGUUCGGAAAUGUGUGCAUGUGUUUAUCCAGUCCUGGUGCAAUAUUGAUUUUUUCUCCUUGAUCUGUGCAGGGAAAGAAGGAAUGCUUUGCUUCGUGCCUCUUUGUCUGUUACGAUUUAAUCAGGGCAGACAUUGUGCUUGAACUCGCUUGGAUGAACAAUAUGAUUGAUUUUGCUUUCCCAUAUCUGCUUCAGGUGAUAACAUUGUCGUACUGUUAUAGUUUCUCUGAAAUUGCAUGAAUGAAUGUAGCUCACUAUUGAUAUGUGAAUUUAUUCUUCUCACAGUUCAUCCGUGAGUACACUAGCAAAGUUGAUGAGCUUGUGAAGGACAAGAUUGAAACUCAAAAUGAAGUAAAGACAAAAGAGAAGGAAGAGAAGGAUGUCAUUGCACAGCAGGUAAUUAGUCUUCGGUCUUCGCACUCUAUCGAGUUAAAAAGUACUUGCUGUAUGCCGUUUUGUGUAGUUCACUAGCUACAUGUUGAAAUGCUAGUGUGAGCUUUGCUUAUAGCAACCAGCUCUUUGUUUAACCACUCGGUUGUUACUUUUAAGACUACAAUAGUUAUUGCCCCAAAACCUUGUUUUUUGUUUGUUACUUGAGUAUAUGACGAACAAAUUACUCAUUCGACUGCAUUUUUCCCUUGGCAGAACAUGUAUGCUCAGUUGCUGCCUUUAGCUUUGCCUGCACCCCCAAUGCCUGGUAUGGGAGGACCGGGGAUGGGGGGGAUGGGAGCAGGUUUUGCUCCCCCACCAAUGGGUGGGAUGGGGAUGCCUCCUAUGCCACCGUUUGGCAUGCCGCCUAUGGGAAGCUACUAAAUUCAGGGAAGAUGGACCUUGCUAUUCGUUUCUUUGAUAGCAGUAGCGUCACAAGACUUUGUGGACUCGAAGUUUUCGUUAUUGCUUUGGGUGGACGUAGCUGGGGUGCUGCGCAAUAACUGUCUCGAGUUUUUGUAUCUUUCAUAGGCCUGUUGGGUAAUUGUUGUAACACUCAAUUGUUUUUGGAUAGGAAGCGGCAUUCUUUUGCUGUUGUAGAGUGUCAGGGGAAGAGGAUUUGCUUGUAUUCUAGUGAUCUUAUCGGUGUCUAUUGAGGAAACAAUAGUAAAAUACAUGAAGAUAUAUAGACUGAAUCCCAGUGCGGGAAGAUAUAUGUUAGCAUGCUUGUUUCUUACUUUGUCGGUUCUGCUUUUAUUGGAAUUCUAGUGCUUCUUCACUCGAGGUGGUGUUAGUAUUUGGCCGUAAAAGGAGCUGCUUUUGGUGUAUUUAUAUGGGACUUCUGUUCUGAUGAUCGUUUGAGGACUGAAAGCGGUUCAUGCCUUACGCUCUGUUUGUUAUGCUCAAUUUAUUACGUAGAAAAAAUCAUUUAAAAAAAAAUAAUAGUAUGUAUUGUUUGAAACAAUUAGUCAAUGAAAAGUAUUUUCGUUAAUGAUAAUAAUUUGUUUCUAAACAUCUUGACAAUUUUUUUCUGCAUAUAUUCAUUUUUUUUUUAUAGGUGAUACAAGCAAUUAAAUUUAGAAAAAUGUCUUACAAAUUAUUUAUUUUUCACCAAACAGAUAGUACCCUCAAAAGCUUUGGUUCUUCUUUUAACCACGUUUGAAACUUGAACGAAUGUUUAAGUUACGAUGUCCUUAAAGUUGUGAUUCCAUGUCUUGCGAUGAAAUCAUGGCGUUUUUUGAAAGCGGGACAGAUUUAGAAUUAGGAUAAAGCCAAUGAUUGUUUUUAGGUAAAAAAAUGUUUGGGCCAGAAUCGGAGGAGUGGGUAUAAAAUUGGAGGGUUUCCCUUUUCGGGAAUUUGGCCGAAAUACUUGAUGGAUUUACUGUUAAAGGGGCUAUUUGGCACUAGACAAUCGCACGCAAGGAUUGAAGACACCUCCUCGAUGCUUACAUUCAGAUCAUCAUCUUCUUCUUCGUCUUGGUCUCGGUCUCGGUCGUGGUCUUCGGAUCGUCGUUGCGGAGAAAGUCUGUAAUCAAAUUUCCCGAUCGAGGUUCUAUCCUUGCCCAGCGUUUCAUCCGCCAAAAAACAUAUAUACUCUCCUUCUCCAUCUCUCUCGACUUCUUCACUGGACCGUCGCCCCACUCGCGCACCUCCGCCUCCCCCAAAGAGGAGAAGUUCUUCGAGCAAAGAGUCGGUCCGCCAUCUCCUCCCCGAUGGCGAUCGCCGUCCUCAUCUGGGCUCUGAUCGCCGGCCUCCUCCCGUCCCUCGCUCUCCUCUUCGCUUCGCGCGUCGCCUCCUGCCGCGCGACCCGGAAGCGAGCCGUCGGGUUCUUCCACCCGUACACCAACGACGGCGGCGGAGGGGAGAGGGUGCUGUGGUGCGCCGUCAAGGCCGUGCAGGAGGAGCGCCCCGAUCUCGACUGCGUCGUCUACACCGGCGAUCACGACGCGUCUCCCGAUAGCUUGACGGCCCGCGCGGUCGAUCGGUUUGGAGUCAAGCUGCUUCGUCCUCCUGAGGUUCAAUUCUUUUCUUUUAUUUUUUAUUUUUUUUCCAGUUGCUGAGCUUAUUGUUUGAGCUAUUCCUAUUUUGUUCGAAUCACGUCGCACGUCAAUAGGAGGAGUUUUAAUUAGUAUCAUGUGCUUUAAAUCAGUGAGUGGAGAAUCUCAAUUGAUGGUUUGAUUGAGGAGCUGUGCUUUUGGUUCUAGAAAUGUCUUGCCGAUGUAAGCAUUCGCCAUUUUCUUUAUACGGCUUUCUUAGCUCUUGUCAAGGAUCGUAGACUGUAGACAUAAUGAGUUCCCUACGGUCUUCGAAUGGAAAAAAGCUUAUAGUGUUACUUGAGGACCGUGUCUCUAACUUACCUCGUGAUAAGCAAUGGCGUGAAAUGCAUGGGGAAUUUUGCAUAGGACAUCAUUUGCGUGAGAAAUGAACACAUAUCUUAAAGAGGUGAUGAUGCUAGCCUGUAGUGCUGGCAAUUUUUCAUCUUUUUUGGUCAUGAGUGCCUGAUGGGAUUCUCCUAGGGAUUUUUGAAAUUGGUAAGUUUUGACGGUAUGCUCUUGUUACUUAUGCUCAAAUCCUCAGGCUGUCCAUCUGUGGAAGAGGAAGUGGGUCGAGGAAACUACUUACCCACGUUUUACUAUGAUCGGCCAAAGUCUUGGUUCCAUGUAUCUUUCUUGGGAAGCGUUGUGCAAGUAUACUCCACUGUUCUAUUUUGACACCAGUGGAUAUGCUUUUACAUAUCCUGUUGCACGAAUUUUUGGAUGCAAAGUUUUGUGCUACACUCAUUACCCUACUAUCAGCACGGACAUGCUAUCUCGUGUUCGCCAGCGGGCUUCUACCUAUAAUAACAAAGCUUCGAUAUCUCAGAGGUAUAGGAUCUAAUCACAUGGUUUUUUAUCUAUCUGUGUGCGCUUCUGUUCUAGAUGUUCUAUAGAACUUCUUAAACAUGAUGGUUCUCCCCUUGUCCCUUUGUCCAAAACUCCAUAUCACUACCUUGUCUCUCUCAAUUAUGUGCACUUGCUUGUUGUAUCAUUGGCACCUUUCCUUUUAAAAUCUGACAGUCAUGUGGUGGUCUAGUGUGAGAUCUCUGAUAUCUGAACAUUGGUGUCAUUCAUGCAUAGAAAUAUAUGUGUGGUUUUCUAUGUUCUCUGUUAUAUUCAAUUCUGAUGUAAAUCUCUCCUUUUGGACAGUUUUUGGCUAUCCAGAUGUAAAAUCAUAUAUUACACAAUUUUUAGCUGGUUGUACGGGUUUGUUGGUUCCUGCACACAUCUUGCAAUGGUUAAUUCUUCAUGGACAAAAUCGCAUAUUGAGAAGCUUUGGAGAAUUCCUGAUCGAACUAAGCGAGUUUAUCCUCCAUGCGAUACGUCAGGACUGCAGGUUUGUUGUGCUGAUAUUGUUCUUUACAAAAUUUCUGGGACCUCUCUCUCUCUCUCUCAAGUGUGCGGGUCAGACUAGCAUGGACUCAUGUAUGCACACAUUAACUGUACACCUGAUAUGUUGACAUAGACACGCCAAUGGAAAUGAGUUAUAGGAGAAAGUUAGCUCGGUCUUGCUACAAAUGGACAAUUUGCAAAUAUCAACAUCCGGCUGUUGCGCCCUCCUGCUCCUUUUUUUCCUGCUUUUAGUCUCAGCAUGUCAUGUCCUCCUCCCCUUAUCAAAUUGGGAAAUGAUUUACCCAUUUUAUUCAUGCUGCUUUUGUAACUACUCACUUGACCAGUUAACAGUGUAACCUUGCAUUUAAAUUUGUAUGGUAGUCUGUGUAUUCUUUUCUCUAGCUAGCUAAUUCUUGUUUUGUGUGUUCUACUUAUGAUCUAUGUACACUUUCUAUUAUUGAUAAUCUGCUUUGGUUUUUCUGUUGUUAAGUUUUCACCAUUUCAGUGUGCGUAACACGUUGUAGUGGAUAUUUCAUUUCCUAAAUCAUUUUCGUCAAAGCAGGCUCUUCCCUUGGAAAGACCAGUUACUGCACCAACUUUCAUUUCUGUAGCCCAGUUUCGUCCAGAGAAGGUGGGAACAUUUAUACCAACCUUAUAAUGAUGAGGUAGCCAUCAUUUCAGUGGCUCACAUGGGCCUUUGCUAACUUAGUGCAUAUGCUUUAAGCUUGAUUGUCGUAUCUCAGGCACAUGUUCUUCAACUUGAGGCAUUUGAGCUUGCUAUCAGAAAAUUAGAUGCAGACAUGCCAAGGCCUAAGCUCCAAUUUGUGGGAAGUUGUCGGAAUAAGUCAGAUGAAGAUAGGCUAGAGAGUUUGAAAAUCAGAGCAGUUGAGCUAAAAGUUGAAAGGGAUGUGGAGUUCCACAAGAACGUAAUGUACAGGUCUGUGCCACUAAGAACCCAAUUAGGCCUAAUUUUUUCAUUGCUUUAUUCUGGAGAAUGGAUUGACUUUGCCAUAUGGUUAGAUCACAAACAACAUCUGGAUGAUAUAACCAAUAUCUUGGGGGUAUCUCCACAUAAUGAUAUCUAAUGAAGACUGCUAUGAGCUUCUCGCUUAGACCUUUUCAUGCGGAGCAGUAUGUUGUUUCAAGCUCUCAGUAAGAAGCUAUGAUGUAAGAGAAAUGCACGGACUUUGAUGGAUUUGAUUUAACCAUUGGCUCUUAGCACUAAGUAAAGUGAAGAUGAGAGAGGACAAAAGUGUAAGUGGGCUUACCGGCGGAAGCCCACUUGAGCACACUAGAUGGGCCAAGAGCUUAUAGAGCCCACUCUCCCCAAUCUCUUUUAUAUUUGUGAACCCGAGUUCAAAAUUACUUUCGUUCUUGUAUGAAUCAGUUCUUUACUGUGGCUCAAUUUAGAUGUGUAUGUUUGACAUGAAAAUAGAAAGGGUAAGAUUGAGAGGCAUACUCUAGAACUUCUUGCAUUAAGUGAUGUUAAGAAGAAUGUCCACGCAACAUACAAUGAGAUUCUCUUAAUAUAACUCGGUUUCUCUGUGAUGGUGAGGAGUAUAUUUUCUGAUACUUGACUGAUGGGCAUUUUGCUAAACAGUAGUGCUAAUGACUGGAAAAAAGUUAAAAGCUAAGUUGGUUUUUGUCUGAAUAUUUAUUCUUUUGGGUUCAAUUGAUCAUGUCCUCCAUAUAUGCAAUUAUUGAUUUAGCUCAUGUCUUAUGUCACAGUUGAUAAGUAUGAACCAUCCACUAGACUUUGGUUUUGACAGCUUCCUUACUUGGCAGGGAUUUGGUAAAACUUUUAGCAGGUGCAACUGCAGGACUGCAUUCUAUGACGGAUGAGCAUUUUGGAAUAAGCGUGGUGGAGUAUAUGGCUGCUGGAGCCAUCCCAAUCGGUAUAGAUUUAAUCAAUUUAGACUAGAAACGAAUUCCCUGGCCUGUCUUCAUGCACAUUGAAUGUCUGCUUUUUGUCCAGCUCAUAAGUCCGCUGGCCCAAAGAUGGACAUUGUUUUAGAAGAAGAUGGACAGCAAACUGGAUUUCUUGCCCAAAAUGUUGAAGAAUAUGCUGAUGCCAUCCUGAAAAUCAUAAGGAUGCCAGAAUCUGAGAGAUUCAAUAUGGCUGCAGCAUCGAGGAAGCGAGCGAGCAGAUUUUCUGAGCAAAGAUUUUAUGAAGAUUUCAGGGCUGCAAUUCGGCCAGUAAUGGGUACUUCAUCAUCUUAAACGCGUUAUCUUGUAACUGUGAGCAAGAGGCUUAGUUGUAGCUUUAGGUACAAAGGAGCAGUCGGAUUUUUCCCUUUUUUAGUUCACCAGAAGACGGGUCCUCCUAAGUCUGAUAGCAUGGCGGCUGAUCUUAGGAAUAGAGUAAAGGCGACUAUCUUUGACAAGGACACAACAAAGUUGUCAUUUCUUUUACACAAUCAUUCGUUGAUCUCCCAUCUGUGAUGCUCCAACGGACCACACGACGCUUCCUUAGGAGUGGCUGACGUUCUCUCUUGCUAAUGGAAAGUGAAAUGCCAUGUAUAGGUUUGAUGUAUCGAGUUCAUGUUCCAAUUUGAUGCGGCUUCAAGGUUGAUGAAUGGUACGAAAGACUUAUUUUUAUGUGUUAUUCUCUUCAUUUCAUCUUCGGGCAUGUCUCGAGUUUGAGGUUAACUAUGACAUUGCCUUGUCGAGAUGACUAAACUGCUCCGUAAUUCUAGUCAGGGCUGUCAAAUUUCGACACCAAACGGUUUUAUUUAAUUUGAUUUUAGACGAUUAAGUCAAAAGUUCUGCUUCUGACUCUAACCUCUUAUUUCCAAUCAGAAAGUCGGCUAGAAUCAAUAACCAAUUAUCAAUAGGAAAGAAUGAUAAUUUCCGAAGAUGAUCAUUUGUUUUUUUUUUUACUGAUUCAUUAGUCAAGCAAAUUCCAAAUUCAAUUUUAGAUGAACUUCAAUUUCAUUCAGCUUUAGAGCUCGAUUCUAGUGGACUUUUGCCCCCAACCGAUUGCCCGGUAAAAGGGAUUUUCAAAUUACCCGGUGGGCGCAAAAACCAACCCGAAAUUUGGUGACCAAUUCAAACCGGCCGGGUUUUGGUUCGGGUGUUGAGAAAACCGUAAUUUUCAGUGGUUUGAUUUGGGUUUCAGGUAUAAAAUGGAACGGGCCCGAAACAUAAAAAGCAGGGGGGAUUCAAUUAGAAAAGAAAAAAAUGGAGACAAAUAAUUUCUAAACUCUGAUGUAACAUAUAGUAUGUGAUUCUUAGAUUUUUAAUAUGUUUAUUCUUUAAAUUAUUGACAAAAUGUUCAAGUUAGUAUUGAAACUACAUGAAACGUAUAAUGUUGUCAUUUGAUUAAUUCAUUCAAGUUAACAAAAUCAAUUGAUAUGAUUUUCAAUCUUUUAAGUUUGGAUUAUGGAUAGAAGAAAAAUUAUACAUUGAUUAUUCAAGUAAAAUAUUCAUUUCAAAUCGGGAUAAAAUAAUCAACAUUAUCAAAUAAGGACGGAUAUAUUGUUGCUUAAUUUUUUUAAUCUAAAAUAGAAAAAUAAAAUAAAAGUAUGUUAAUUGAUUAUUUUAAAAAAAUCAACUUAGUAUAUAAUAAUCUGUAUUUUCAGAACAAUUUUUUAUUUAAAAUGAUUACCUUGAAUAUUUAUCAAUAAUUCAUAAAUCAUAAUUAAAAUUAAAAAUUCAGUGUAACUUUUAUACUGGGUCAAAAUUUAGGUCUUAUUUGUAUCAUUUUUCCAUUUUAAAAAGUGAAAUACAUUUCGUGAUAAAAAAAGAAAAAUUACGUUUCUUGAUCACGAGAUCAGCUCCUAUCGCCGCCAAGUCGGCGCUCCCUCUCAAGCCUCACCGCAACGCCUCCGACGAGCGACUACUCCGACUCCGACUCCGACUCCGACUCCGCAGGGAACGCCGACGAGCUCACUCCGACUCCGCAGGGAACGCCGACGAGCUCACCCCUUCCGCAGUGAGGCCGCGGUUCUCAGUCAUUCGAAGCUCCUCUAAUCGGCCGCGAAGCUCCGGAGGGGGAAAUUGAGCGGAGUCUCGUGUUGGUCGACGCGCUUGGCGGUGGACAGCGACGCGCCGAGGCCGUUGCUCCGCGGCUAAAAGAUCCGCCCGUCCCGUCCGAUCCGUCAGGAAGUUGCUGCUCGAUUCGUGACGCCGUGGGCCCGCUUGAAAGUCCUUGUCGAACAGCUUCUCCGAUGGCAAUUGUGGAAGUCAAAAUAGAAACUUGAAGGUUUUUCAGACCCCAAACAGGGCUUUACAAUGAUGCGACUGAUGCGACGUUAAUCCUCCCGAGUUCGCUGCAAUCAGGCUUUUGAGAUGGCUGAUGAUCGGAGCAGCAGUCUCUCUCAUACUUUCAAGUACUUAUUGGGUUAGUGUCGGAUCCUUUGAUCUUUUCAUUUCCAAUGUCUUCUCAAAUUUGGUAGCCUUUUGAUGCGUUGUUUCAUCGGAUUUUGGUAGUGGUGUGUUAUCUCUUGCUGAGAAAGUUAGUUUCUUUUCUCUUGGUUUUCCGGAAAAUAAUGGUGGGCAUCAGCUACGCAGUUUUUGGCCAGGGGAAUCCCUUUUCUGUUCAAUACGUGGAUAGUGCGGCAUCUCACCGAAGACGAUUACGCGGUACUCGACUGCUGUUUUCUCUUUUCUUCUGGCCUUUUAUUUUUUCCUUUCUUAAUUGUUGAAAUGUUGAUUGAUGCUGCAUUCUCAGGCGUUGUUUAUUAGCUGGUAAAAAUUUAGACUUGCACUCGUUUAGUAUAUGCACACUUUAGUUUGCCUUCUGGCAUCAUGGAAUGGGAAAUUAGUGUUCGCCGGAGUUUCUUGAUGGCUAACUAUUCUUCAUUCUUCUAGAAUGUCUGAGUUUGCAUAUAAGCGCGAGACCCUCUUAUGAAGUAUGAAGGUCGGAUGCUGCUUUUAAGUGCUUAAUGGAAUUUUAGCAGUUAAUCCUCAUCCCCUGAUGCUGGGUCUCUCUAAUCUCACAUCCUGUGCUAUCUAGACUUAUUUUGACUUUACAUGGAUGAGAUCUUUCAAUAUGUUAUGUUAUGUCAUGUUAUGAUCUUCUAUUCUGUGUCUUUGUAGAUUGGACUGAAAUUUCUUUGUCGUUAUUAAUGCAGCUCUACGCAGUAAAAUUUCAUCUUUUUGUCACCUGUGUGCUAUUCCUUAGUCGGGAGGGAUUUCGUCGAGCAUGCAUGCGAGCUGACAUUCAAUGGUGCUUCUUCUUGCUCUUUCAUGUAUGCAUAUUGGUGACAGUUGUGUUGUUAGACUUUCUAUCAUUUUGACGUUGUGUAUGCAAAUUGGUGACAGUUGUGUUGUUAGACUUUCUAUCAUUUGUGUUCAAGUUUAAUGAUUACUUGCUAUGUUAUGUCGAUGUUUGUAUAUUGUAGGGGAGACUUCAUCAGUAAAUAUGCAAAGUUAUGUCGAUGUUUGUAUAUUGUAGGGGAGACAUCAUCAGUAAAUAUGCAAACUUCUUCCAGUUAGGUGUUUUGGACUAUUGAAAAAAAAAAAAUAAUGCCACCUAGUGCUAUCUACUGUUAUAUCCUUAAAAAAAUUCUCAUUUCAGAUUCGCAUAUUUAAUGUCCAUUUACAAUUGUCAAUUGAGUUUUCUCUGGUUUGCUGGCCUAGUGACUGGAGCUAGUUUUAUAUAGUCUCAUCUCUUGUUGGACUUUUGGAGGCUGCUGUUUAGUUUGUCUUUGCUACCUGUGUUUUCUUAAGUUUGUGCUCCAUCAAAACCUCUAUAGCUUUCUUCUGGAUGAUUGUUGCUCCUGGACGAUUGUUGCCCGAAUCUUAUCCUCUAUAUAUCCAAAGAAAAACAAGUCAUCUGUAGGUGUGUGGUAGUAGUACAACUGAAAUGAUAUGUGGAAUUUAUGUAGGUUACAAGUCAAAAAGUGUAGACCCUGAUGUUUAUCUGCAUUACUUUUUGGAGUUUGUGCUUCGCGGUUCUGUUUCCGACUCAAUAAUUUUUCAAGUUAUAGAUAAAUUCUUACAUAUAAUGUCUUGUGAUGCUAUAGCAAUGGAGCUUCAGGGGGAGAAAAUGUUACAAAGCUAUUGAAAGUUGCUUGGAUGACUAUACCACUUGGACUAGCCAUGACUGCUGCAGCCUGUUCUAUUAUCUUCUGGUGGCAGGAACUAAGUUUUUCUGACCCAUAUGCACACGCUAUUCUUAUAAAUGGUAAUUUGCUGUCCUUAUCAGACUUUUGGCUCCACAUGAUUUGUUCCAAUCAGAUCAUAUCAGUGAGACGCUUUUCAGAAGUAUUUGUUCUAAUCUUCAGUUUUCUUUUCAUCUUAUGUACUUUUCUGACGCUUUAAACAAUUCUUGCCAUGACAAUAGCAUUGCCAUGCAGGUUUUGGAUGUAUGUUGGAACUCUUAGCUGAGCCUUUCUAUAUCCUCUCCCAGAACCUGCUUCUGCUUAAAUUACGGUUAUUGGUGGAGACAGCAGCAACAUUCUUACGUUGCUUAACAAUGUAUUUACUCAUUGUUAAGCAAACUAACAUGGUAAAGUUUUUGGCUACUGGUUAUGAAAACUCUUGUGCAAAUAAAAGAUAUCUAACUUGCUGUUGGGCUGGUUGCUUCUGCUUGUUAUUCUAUUUAGUAUACUUCAGUUUGUGAAUUCGUGUCUUCUGCCUAUCCUACAUCUUCAAUGGGGAUAGUUGGUCCAAACCUUUAAAUUUUGAGAUGCUUUGCUGUUGAAAUACUUCAUCUGAUCAAUAACUUUAGUGAGCAGUUAUUUAUGUAUCACAUUCUGGUUUGAUCAACUCUGCAAUAUAGGAAUUAAAUAGGGAGGUUGAUCCAAAUUUAAGUUCUGCCUUUUUCCCUUGGGUUUAGCAAAUGGUAAUGUGGAUUUCAGAAUAUGAACAUAACUGUGGAUUCUCAGUAUAUCACAAUAAUUGUUGCUUGUCCUUUACUUAAAGGAGCUCUUUUAAUUGAUUCUGCAGGAAAAGGGGAUUGUAUUUGCAUUGUCACAAGUUGCAUAUGGAGCUUGCUUCUUCUUUGGUUACUGGGGUUUUUACCUUUUCUCAAGUUCAUUCAAGAGUUCUGAUCUUUUUCCUUUCAGGUAUCAAUCUAUUUCUGUCCAUGUUACUCUCAUAUCGGAUGCGACUUUUUGCCUUCAUAUAUCCUGCUUUGCUCCUCUUCUGUCUUCUUAUGCUGUGAGGAUGAUUUAGCUGGUAGUUAUGCGUAUGCAGACUAGGUGGUAAGGCACACCUUGAUGGCCAGCUUGCCAAUAUGUCCAUGAUAUUCACUUUUCAGUCCUUCCGCAAGUUGAUUCUUCAAGAAGGAGAAAAGAUGGUUCUUGUAUGGUUUGAUACACCAUAUAAUCAAGCUGUAUAUGGGCUAGUAGACAAACUAGGUAAGGCCUUUAGUACAAUGUUCUUGUGUAUAGUCAGUAACCUUUCUAUGCACUUGGAUGUUAUGUAAAUGGUCAUUCUCUAAUUGCAUGAAUUGGUCAUUGAACUUGCUUUUUCCUGUGCUUUAUAUUUGAGAAUACUUUAGUUGUUGAUUUGAAUGACUACCAGGGAGCCUUGUGGUGAGGCUGGUGUUCCUUCCCUUUGAAGAAAGUUCAUAUACAGCAUUUGCAAGGUCCGCAUCAGGUUUAUAUCUCUUUUCACUUUGUUUGUCCUUUUUCAUUAGAUGCAAAGAUAUCUAUCUUAUGUUGGUUCCAUUUUUCUCUGUUUAGCCAUGACACCUUUUGGUUUUGCUCUAGCUGACUAGUUGAAUAGCAAUUCGUUUCCAUAGAAUCUGUUACUGAAAUGAUCUUUUAAAUUCCAUAGGAGUUUUGUAUUUUGGUGAGACUAUGAAGAAACACUGCCUCUGGGUGAAUAGAAUUUGUCAUGCCAUGCAGAAAAAAAUCAUGACCACAGAUCUAUCUGGGUAUCUGUCCUCUAAAUCGAUAUCAUUGCAUCUGUUGCGAUUUCACCUUGUGUUGAUUAACACUUCAUAUUGAUGAGAGUAAAGGAUAUUGAUGUUGCUAUUACUGGGAGGUCUUUUGCAUCUGUUACAUUCAAACAUGACCAACCACCUAACAACCAUAACCAAGGCUUUCCCUCUAAUUGCAACAUGGAUCUUUUCUCACAUUUCCACUGUAUUAUCUGGUAUGUGUAUUGAGAUGUGGCAUGACCAUGGAGGGAAGUUUUUCCUUCAAGAUAUAGCAAGGAUUGGGUGGAUACAAGUUUACAGGAACUACUUAGGGCUGGUUAUUGGAAAUCCAUGGAAGUGGUGACGUAUGUGACCUUGCAUGCUUUUGGCAAACUCAGAGAGAUGUAUUUUAAGCUUUGUCUGAAGGCAUCUUCCUGGGAGGCAUGAAUACUACAGUACUGUCUGCAUGUGCAUGUGUGCAUGUUAGAUUACUUUGGGCUUUGUGGAAGGCUCUUUCAAGCAAGUCAUGCAUAGUAUGGUGGUAGAACUACAUCUUUUUUUCUUUUUCUUUUUUUAAUCUUUUCUGUAUCAUGAGGGAUGAUCACUGAUAUGGUUCUGAAGUUUUCUAAUAUGUUUAUUCUUGGAGCAAGAGGCACAACUUGCAUUCCAGUCAUACACUAUAUCUUGAUGUCGUGUUUUUAUGCCAUCAUCUACUUUAUUUUCAACAUCUUAUUUUUAUUUUAUUGUUUUAUGGCCUUAUAGGACAAAGUCCAGACAGAAGUCGGAAGAUAGGAAGAAGUCUUACAGAGGCCCUUAAACUUGUCAUGUUGAUAGGUAUGUUUCACUUAGUUUAAUUUGUUCUAUUUGGGAAUUUCUUAUUCUCAACCCUCUGUUUCCACAUAUAAAUUAAGACUCUCAAUAAAGGCUGCCAUGUAAUACUUACAUGCAAGGCUGAGGAACGCCAGAAACAUACAAUCUCUUAGCAUUCUGAAUAUAAUUUCUUAUCAAUGUCUUCGCAGCUAUGAUUUCUAUUUCCCUUUAUGAUUAGCAUGUACUUUCAUGGCCAGAUUGUGCUUAUUAAAGAGUGAAGCUGUUAAAAAGUUACUUCAUUCCAUUUAUCUGUAUGUUCUCAGACAUGAUCAAGAAUUUGUUAUUGCUUUAUUAUCUGAUCUAUGUGCAUCAAAGCAGACAUUGUAAUAAGACUUGCAUAAUGCCGCUGGCCUUAUUCUCAGUGGUUGAAUCUUUUACUUGACCUACUUGUUGGCCCAUUCAAUAGAUGCGCAAUGGUGUCUAUCUACAGUUAUACACCUCUUAGCUUUGUUGUUAUCUGCAAUUUUCCUUUAUUAAACGUUAGACUUUAAUUAAAGCAAUGUUGCUUUUCUAUUGAUCAAACCAAUUAUAUUGCUUUUUAUGCCCCUUGAUGAGUAAGGUACACUUUUGGUAUGUAUUUUACAUGAUUUCAAGUAUAUGUUACAACCUAGUUGUCUCGUGCCUUGCUAUUUUUUCUGUUGCCAAUGAUAGGUCAUUGACAUGAAACUCAAACAAUGUGAUUUGCUGUACUAUCAUACAUUUUUCUAACUUUAAAGCCCUGUUUGGUAACUAUCCCCGGAACAGUUAUUUAUAUCAUUUUGUUCCCCGGAAUAAAAAAAGAACAAAAAUCCUUUUGGUAAAAUUUUUAUUCCCGGGAACAAAACUCUAUUUUUUUAUUCUCGGGAAUAAAUUUGGGACAAAUUUGGGACAGAAUUAAGAAAUAGAAAAAAGUUGCUUCUUGUUCCCGGGAACAAUUUCAAGAAUCAAGCCUAAUUUUAUUUUUUUUCUUUCUUUUCUCCUUCUCUCUUCUUUUUCUUCCUUCCAGUCCUAGCUGAUCACCGGGCACUACUAGCCACCGCCGCCGUUGCCAGCUGUGGCCGAUGACCGACGGGGCGAGGUCUAGUGAGGCUUUGACUCACCUGCCCACCGGCGAGACUUGGCCUCACCCAGGUGGCGUGAGGUCGAGCCUCGCCUAGCCACCAGCGAGGCCGAGGCUUACCAUGGCUAGGCGAGCCUUUGGCGAGCUCACCGAAGUCCUGCCUUAGCCCGGCAAGGCUCUGGCGAGCUCGUCGAAGCCCUGCCUUGGCCAGGCAAGGCUCCGGCGAGCUCGCCGGCCCUCGGCUAGUUGGUCGCCGGCCACAAAGAAGGAGGAAGAAGAAGAAAAAAGGGAAAAGAAAAAAUAAAAUAAAAAAUAAAAAGAAAAAAAGAGAAAAAUAUAAUAAAAGUAUUAAAAAUUAAAAGAUAAAAAAUUUAAGAAUUCUACCAAACACAUUUCUAUCCCGAUAAUAGAUGCGGUUACUAAACGUGCUCUUUUGUUCAGAAAUUAUUCUCGGGAACAAAAUCAGAAAAAACCAUUUAUGAUAAAAAAUUGUUCUUGGAAACAAAAUGGUUACUAAACGCGUUCUAAGAAUGUUUGAGUAAGAUAGUAAUGACGAUACAGGUUUUAUAAUAUGCUUCUCAUGUUCCUCAGUAAACAGAUCGUAAAUGGUAUACUAAAACCAGUUUAUGCUGUUAACGCCUGUGGCAAUAUCCUGUUUGAAUUUGCUCUCUCUCUCUCUCUCUCUCUCUCUCUCUCUCUCUCUCUCUCUGAUAUUAUAUAUGAUUAUAUGCCUUGUAGGUCUCAUAUUUAUUGCUUUUGGCCCAAGUUACUCUUACUCCCUGAUAAGGUUGUUAUAUGGUCGAAAAUGGAGUGAUGGAGAAGCACCAACAGUCCUCCGCUACUACUGCAUCUACAUUUUUUUCUUGGCUAUGAAUGGUUAGUGAUAGUUUUCCUUUAAAUAUGGAUCUAAGAUUUGCUGCUUUUGCAUCUAUAAUCAUUGUGAGAGCAAGUGAAAAUAAUACGAGACAGUAUUUAGGAUAAUUCCAUUGUGUUCAUCCUCCUCUCUCCUCUCCCUUUAGGUAUUUUAUUGCUAGCUUAAUUGAACGGGUCAUGUUGCCACAAAGAGGACCAACUGAUUGACGUUCCUACUACUUAAUCAUUCUAUAUGUGGUACCCGUCACCAUAUAGAUUAGGAUGCUUCAUUAUCCUGAAAUAUUUGGUCAGCUUAUAUCAGAGCAGAAAGAGAUAUCGUACUAUAUGUUUGUUGACUAUAUAAGGUCAUGUCAUAUGGUGCAGUGUGAUUUUCGACUAGUGAUUGAAAUGUGUCAUUUGUUCCUGUGGCAAACUGAAGUUUGUAGAAAAGCAAAUUGUCUGGCUCAGCCAUCAUAUGGGGAUGCUUACAUCAUGUCUCUUCUGGUUAUGAAUCAGGAACUUCGGAGGCAUUUCUGCAUGCAGUUGCGGAUGAAAAAGAGCUCAAACGCUCAAAUGAUAUGUUGCUUGUGUUCUCAUCCAUAUAUGUGCUGCUAAAUAUCAUGUUAAUAAAAUCAGCAGGCGCAGUUGGCUUACUUAUGGCAAAUUCUUUGAGUAUCCUUUUCCCCCCUCUCAUCUGGAUUUUUUUUUUUUUUUUUUUUUGGGUCAGUCUUCCAUAGUUUAGCCAGAUUGAUUGGAUAAAGAAGCAAAUUGUAGAUAAAAUCUGACAACUGUGAAGUCAAACAUCGACCUAUGCUUCCUUUGUCUUCAAAUUUAUAGGAAACCCUACCUUUGUUUUCAGCCCUUCCUUCCCCCCACGUUCUAAUCCAUUUUUGUUGAUGUUUAUUAAGGACUGCUGUUACUUGAUAACACUGUUAUUUCUUAAGAUCAGGAGUUGAGAUUCUUAGAGAUUAAGUAGAUGAGGUUCUCGAUUUUUGACUUCCUUGAUUGGGUUAAGACAUGCUUUUGAGGAUAAUCUACUCUGCGAGAUUCAUAAGAAAGUAUUUCCAGGUAUGACAUUGAAUUUGGAUCUUUUGCUUGUUUUCCUUGGCAAGUACUAUCCUAAUUUUAAUGCGUGAUUUGGCGUUUUGCACAGGAUUCUUCAUCCUUUUCAUUUCAUGGGUGCUUCCCUUCAGGGUCGACAGUUUUGCUGCUUUCUGGUUUAGCUACACUUACCUCAGAGAAAUUUUUCCUGGACAAGGAAAACUUUUGGCCCUCAUUUUUAGUUCAUUUUUUUGUUGGGUUGACUUGCUUCUGCACAUCAGCCUUUGUCAUGUAAGUGACAAGUUUUUCUCUUAUUUCCUUUUAUCAACUAUUUACCAUGGCUCUUUACUGUUUGAGUGUGUUAACGAAUUUAUGCUAAGCUAUUAAUGAUUUUCUGCUCCAUCAGUUAUGCCCGUGAGAAGGCUUUUGUGAGAAGAAUUAUCCGCUUUCGUGACCAUGACGAUUGAUAUACCAGAAAUCAUCCAAAUCCUCAACCAGGUGCGCUCAUGUUUUCUUAGGCAAACAAGUUCAUGGUUGUUUUAAUAGUUUAUUUCAGCAAAUGAAAAAACAAAAGAGUGAUCGUGUUGCACUUGCAAGAAAGGACAUGCUAGGUAAAUAAAGUAAUGUAAUGCUUGCAUUGUUCAACAUUUUUGGCAAAACAACACCCUACAAUGCAAAAACAAGAAAGUUACUGGCGAAGAUAUGAAUUCUGGCAAGAGAUGAGCACAAUAUACUGGACUGGACACUAACACAGUUUAAAGAGAAAAGGCAGGUGUUUAUCAUAUUAUUAGAUUACGUGUUAAUCUAGCAAGCAAUAACCAGAAAAUGGCAUGAAUUACAGACACUUACACGAUGACAUGAGGUUAUUGCCUCCUUGGGUCAGACAUCAAAGACAUCUAUCAUUCAGCUUUUUCAAAAUUAUCGUUGGCUGAGAUGGGACGUGGGAAGAUGCCACAUUACAUUCACUAUUGUUAAGUAAUUUUUAGGCAAAAAUAAACUCCCUACUACAGCUGAUAUGGUCAACUCCCUACUCUCGAGAACAUUGGAAUCUAACUUCGAAGUUCACCAUCUGAAAGAAUUGCUUAAAGAAUGGGUAAAUUAGUAUUACCCUGUGGCUUGACUUAUCACAAGCUCUGUAUAUGCUUCCACACGAUUAUUCUCACUCUCAUUGUGAUACUGAAAUCUGCAUCUCUUCUGGCAGGUGGCGGCCGGUAGGCAAAAGUUUUGAUGAUGUAAAGUAAAUUAGAUUGACAAUGAUGAGGGGCACGCGGAAAGGAGCGACAGACACCCGCGCUGCACUCUUCGUACCCCGGUCUCACUGUAAGAGGAGCAAUACGUUCAAUUGAUGGUCAUAAGCUAUGAGAGAUUCAAAUUGAUAAGCAGGAAAAUUGGAUUGAUGAUUAUUAUUAAGUUCUAGACCAGGCAUUCUUUCUGAAAACAGAAUGGAGACAAUUUUUUUUUUAGCAUUUGAAAUAAGAUUCUUGAACAGAUAUUUUCACCGAGGCCUGCUUCAAAAUGCGAGGCACUGGUUACUGCCUUCCGCAGUCUCACGCAUUUAGCUUGUUUUUAAAUGCAUGUGCGAACUAAAUUCAUUAAAAUCAUCGGUAAUUACAUGCAUUAUCUCAAGGAGAAACGUUGAAUAAGUCACUUGGCUCGCCCCAGUAAAAACUUGUCUGGAUCUUAUGUCAAGGUAGAAUCUAGUAUGACUAUAUACUUACAUCAAUACAUUUUAUAAUAAUAUGAGAAGAUAUGAAUAGUGAACACGAAUACGACGGGAACAUGGGUUGCCGCUCCGUGGCGGUCGAUAAAUUUGGUUGAUGAAGGAAACUGUGUUUUUGGCACAUCUCGAGUUUUAAGGGUUUUGUCAAGACUACUGAAACACAUCUUCCUUUAAAUACGGCGGCGACUGCAACGAUCAGAGAAGCUAUUUGCAUAUGACCACAAUGGCGAAAACAUGCUCUUGACGAAGUACAUAACGCGUCGCUUCUUUUUCUGCAUCAACUUUGUCUUCUCAUGUGAUGAUUUGGCGUAUUCAUUCAGAAUUCAAAUGUCGCUCCUAGCAUUCGUUGCGCUCACUAAGUUUAAACCCGCGAAUACUCAUUCCAAUCAACUUACCAGUGAGUACUUAAGCUAGGGAUGCUGAAUAUUUGGCUUUCGAAGGUCAACAAAUGCGAAAUUUACAGACACGGGCGGCGCCAUGCGCAAUGCAAUACAGAAUGAGCGACUAGUAUUUGGUGGAUUAACCUCCUAUGUCAGACUAACCGCCCGCGACGGUGAUAACGCAUGGUUCAUACAAACUUGGGCGAAGAUGAUAAGUGCUUUCCCUUCUUAUCUGGCCAUUGCUUGAGCAUUGUCUAUUCCUCGCUAAGGACUACUGAAAAUCCUAAAACAGCAGCAACACACGCUGAUGGCACCUCUUUACCUUACGAAAUCCAAUAUUUUUUUUUUUUUGGUCGAAGAAAUCUACUAUUAACAGGUCACCACCAUAAGAGUAAAUCCUCAAUAACUCUCUACAAAACAUGGACAAGUACAAAAAUGUUUCAUCACUGCUGACAUUUGCAAUGUCAAUCAAUGCCUGGAUCUAGCAAUGUCACAACAAAAGCAGAACAAAAUAAGAGAUUUAGUCGGCUUCUCUAGGGAUUCAGAACAUAUUACCACUUCACUUGAUGCAUUGUCCAUGGCAAGUAUCAGCACGAAAAGAAGACAAUAUGGAUUGCCCCAGAAAGCUAAACAUCUAAAGGUAAGUUCAAUCAUCUGAAAUUCGAAGACAAUAUGGAUUGCCUCAGCAAGCUAAACAUCUAAAGAUAAGUUCAAUCAUCUGAAAUUCGACGAAACUGUCGUCCCGUUACUGAAAGUGCCCAAGCGUCGAUGUCAAGUCGCAAAUACAUUCCGGGCGUUUCCAACCCACAAUCCUAAUUAACAAAAGAACGAUAAUCUGCAAUGCACAAUCCUCAAUCAGCUUGCCCUUUGCAGACACCGUAUUCAAAACCUUCCAUUUCUACCGACCAAAAACAAAGUCCCCGUCACUCAGAUACUUGCAAUGGCACGCUCAUGAGCAACCACUUCAUAUCACGCAUCAACAGGGAGAAUCAAAGCAAAGGGCGCGGUGAGAUUCAAAGUAGGAAUUCGAUUCAGAGAAUAGUAGCAAAUAUUUAGAUUCAACAUCCGACGCUAAUUCUUAAAAGUUCUCAACUUUAAUGCAAGAAAAAACCAAGUACAAAAAACCCAACAACGAAACCCGAAUCUCCAACGUCCCUAUCGCCGCCCAACGAGGAUUUUACUUGGAUCUCUGCCUCAUCUUUCGGCGCUUCCUCUUCAACCUCCUCAUGCGCUUCUUCUUCCACUGUCACACCCACCAAGCAAAACGAAAACGUCGACAAAGAAAAAAACCAAUCAAUCACCAAAACCCCACCUUUCCAACCGCAGAAACAGCAAAGAAAAUCGAAAUUCUCGAAACCCUAAAUCGCAUCCCAUCUUACCUUGGCUCUCAUGGUGAAAGGUCGAUGUGCUCCUCCGCUCCUAGGCCGUCAAAAACCCUAGCUUUCUCUCGGUGGCCACCGUGCAAGUGCCCCGAGGUCGAUAUGAGAGCGCCUGUAGCGACGCGAUUGGUAUUUAUAGGGAAACCCUAGCGGAUUGCUUCCUGGGCUUGCGCGUUCCUCAUU
rnacentral:lncRNA from 1 species